rnacentral:lncRNA from 1 species
GGGGAAAAACUCACCGGUUUGGGAAAACAAAGCACAAUAAAAACUACAGUAACACCUAAAAUCCAUUCAGAACAAUGAUUCAGCAUGAAAGCAUGCCCAUAAGUACACAUACUUUGCCAAAGAAAGCGUAGCAGAGAAUAAGGAAAAUGAACUAGUAUGAUGGUAGGUCGCGCUUUUUCACCUAGUGUAACAAAUUCAGUCUACCAUAUACGUCCCAGUUCCCAACAACAUAGGCAAGUACACGAUCAUCCGAGUCCUUUCAUGCAAGGAAAAGCCAGUGAGAGCAUUUAAACAUGCUAGACUGUGUAUUGACUCAACCCAAAACGUUGACUGAAGAAACGAUUGAUGAGCAAUGGACCAAUCCCAAAGAUUUAAUCUUUCUUCAGAAGAAUCAAAACCCAAUAUUGCCAGCUAAGGAGACAGACGAAACACAAAAUAAUUCCAUCCGAAAGGAAAAAAAAAACGUAAGAAUAUUUAGGAAAAAUCAUGGCAACAACUUACACAAAAAUUCAGAGAAUUGCAUGAAUGCCAGCCAUUAUCAGUACCUUGUAUAAAGCUUUGGUGAUGAAGGCAGGGUGAGGAAUCACAUGAAUCUCAACUGGGGUCAGGGAAAACUCAAAAGUGAUGAGGCGGUGCUUUGGAUAAAAAGCAACGAAAUCCUGAUACAAUAUGUAGAGACUAAGAGAGAGAGAGAGAGAGAGAGGUGCAACUAAUGACCAAUACUAAUAAAUAGGCAGAUGAAAGAACGUGGACUUCGGGUAGCUGCAUCUAAGUCUAACAUAUAGAUGCAUACAUACAUAUAUAAAGAAAACUUCCUAUUGCUAAGAUUACUAGUAGCAAAAGACUUCUAAGCAGAGUGACUGGAUGAGGGAAAUCUGCCGUCGUUCCGCACUGGCCCAUUACUCCGGUCCUUUUCAGCUUUUGUUUAAUCUUUUGGCUGGCGUUGACUUCUCCGUUGUUGUUGAUGUGGGUUUAGCAUUCUUUUAUUUUGAGUUUUAUUUGUAGAUAUUUCUUAAUACUACUAAUCUCUGACUUUUGGUACAAAUAAACUCAACUUUUUUUUUUGGUUCGACUAAUAAUGCACCUGAUUCAUCUGAUAAGUUAGCCUUUUCUCGUUGGAGAAGAAGGGAAUUAAUUAGCACUAAACAAAUUAUUAUCAAAAUACUAAAAAAAAAAAGAGUACUCUAAACUACUAAUCUCUUAAACUCCAAAAGUCAAGUAAAGAAGGUUCCACGAAGGUGCUGCAGCGCAGCCCUGAUUACAUUAACACGAAAGGUGCUUGAUUGCACUGUUGCAAUGCUGGAUCAAUCAACAAGUCACAACUCCGAUGUUUUCUUCCUUUUUUUUUUUCUUAAUGCUCGUGGUCCAGAUCGGAUGUGGAUUAUGAGCUUUAGUCGUUCAAAUAUCACACAGAAAAAGACUAAAACGGUUUGCAUCUUCCAAUUAUCUGGUUCCAUGUUCUUUUAUUCUUUUUCACCAACUUAAUCCUACCCGCGGGUCACCAUGCUUCUGGUUAUGAAAAUGACAUGAUACGAGGGUUUUUCCCUCCUUGCUUUCCAAACCAAAGGAGAGUUGAAAUAUCCUUAAAACUGAGGUGAUAAUUCCUCAAGUCUUAUGUAUUAUACUGUCCUGAGCUACACAGCAGCAUGGAGAACGUAAAGUGUAUAAGAAAAAAAACCACGUUGCAUCCAUUCAGAUCAAGCUUUACAAUUACUACAUUUCCAUGGGAAAAACAGGAGGAGAAAAUGGAUAUAUGCUUUGUACCGUGCGAUUUUGCUUCCUUCAUAAGUAAUAUUACAAGCCAAGCACUCAAACCAGUCAGUUGGACUCUUCGCCUGAUCCCUCUGCCUCCAGGGAGGCCAAUGAGUCCUCAGAUAACUCUCUGCGGUACUGCUGCACCACCAAAACUGAUGCUCUUGUAGAAAACUCGGGGGCAACCAAGAAGUUUCCUACCGGCCCAAGUUCAGGGCUGUCAGUAGUAUUGUUCAGAGCCGCAACAAGUUGACCCUCGGGCAUUCUUCCGACCAGAACAGGUUGCACCGACUAUAAGCACGAACUGCUUCAACUGUCUCUGCACCAUCUUUACUAUCUUUCUUCAAAUGUUACUGACCUGACCUCUUUGACAUUCUCUUUUAAUUCAGAAAGGAACUCUUCAUCGUCAGGACCUUGCUUCAGGACCAGAACUCUCAUUCACAUCUAAAUUGACGGAUUUUCCAGCAACCUUAGGAUCCACGGCGAAACGAACCACAACUAAGCUGAUACCAGGGUGCUGCCAUCCGCGCACCAUAAGCAACUGCUUCGCGAUCAUCAUGACCACCAAAGAACAAGGCUGUUAUGGUAUAGUCAACAUUGCUUGCAGACACAUGAGAUGUUCCUCAAGUCCACGGUCGACAAAUAUGCCAACGGAGCACGGUGCUGCCGAAGAACUCUCCGGUUAACAUGCCUAAAUUCUGCUCUGGUGGUUUCCAGAUGCCCAUCAAUCCUCUGAUGCUUAUGAAAUGGGAGAAUGAUCAUACUCACCCCUUUUUCUCAGCACCGGCAAGAAUGUCCUCAUGCAUUGUGGCUAUUGGUGAGAUUGCAGUUGUAGGUCGGAUGGACACCUUGCUAAGCUGCCGAAAAGCUUCAAAGCAACAACAACUUGUUUGAAUCAGAAUCCUGUACCUUGCUCCAGAAGGGCAGCCCAUUCUUUCUUGCCUUGUGGACCAUUAGAAUAGCAGACGACCUUUCAGAAAGCUCCAUGAGGUGCAUUGCAUAGACACGAAGUCCUCCUUUCUUCUCAGUGCCACGUGAAGCCUCAAUGAGAUUGAUGAGAGAUGGAAUGUUCCUAGAGCUGUGGAAGCAGGUCAACAGACGAAGCUGAGCACUUGCUUCUUUCCUUUGGAUAGUGUGAUGUUUAUACUCAGAUCUAGCCAUUUUAGCCGGCUUAUACACUGCCAUGACGAUGGGCGUUGUUAUAAAUGUUGUGAAGAGAGCCAUCAAAACCAUGACAGCGAAUGUUUCAUCAUUAAGAACCUGUUAAGUUGAUUAAUUAGCACGAUAAAAAUAGCAAGGGAAGGUUUUAUCAAGGUAACAACAGGAAAAGAGUGUAGAGGAAAUUACCCCUCUGUCUUUCCCAAUGUUGAGGACAAUGAGCUCAACUAAACCUUUGGUAUUCAUCAGAAAACCCAAAGCUACAGCCUGCUGAAGAGGCAUCUUGGACAACAGAGAGACAAAGAUGGUCCCAACAAUCUUCCCAAAACAGGCUGUGAAAAUUACUAAAGCAAGAAGACCCCAUGCCUGAGCCCCAUGAAUGGUGGCAACAUUGGUCUUCAGUCCACUCGAGACAAAGUACAAGGGAAGGAAAAUACCAGAAACUAGAUCCUCAACUUUUUCAACUAGAGCACCUGCAAAAGCGCCCUCCUUUGGGACAAGAAUUCCAAUCACAAAUGCCCCAAACAGGGCAUGAAUUCCAAUAGAAUCAGUGACAAAUCCAGCAGCAAGAACAACUGCUAGUGUAGCACAUACAUACAUCUCAUCUACCGGCUCCCUCAGGGCACCUUCUUGCCAUCCAUCGAAAUAUGGGAGGCGCUACAAAAAUACAACAGAGCACAAAACCACUACCACAACAAAACCCACAAUGAAACAAGGGGAGAACGACCUACACCUGACAGGGCAACAGCAAGAGCAAGUAGAAUCCAUGCAGCCACAUCAUUGACUGCUGCAGCAGACAUGGCCAUGCGACCAACAUCGGUCGUUAAAAGCUUCAGUUCAGCCAGGAUACGGGCCAGGACAGGGAAGGCAGUGAUAGAAAGGGCAACUCCCAUAAACACCAAAAAUGGGCCUUCACUCACACCUUUUGAAAUAGUCGCACGAAGAGCAAAUGAUGUCCCAAUUCCUAAUGCAAAGGAAGAGUAAUUCCUGCGAGGGCAAUGGCCAAGGCCUUCUUUCCAGUCCGACGAAGGACUUCGGAUCAAGUUCGAGGCCGACAAGAAACAAAAAGAAAAGGAGUCCUAGGUUGGCAAUUGUAUCCAACACUGUAAGACUCCGGGCGGAAACACCGUAUGGAGAAAUUUGUGGUUGCGGCCUAAGGCGGACGGACCCAGUAGGACUCCUCCCUGCAAAUAAAGUAUUAUCCAUCAAAUUCUUUCAACUUACUUGUUACAGUUACGUUUCUUUAUGAUAAUCAGCUCAUCUAUUAGUCUUGGAGCAGUAAACCAUCCAUAAUCACUUGGCACAGCUCUCUCGCAUUUGGAAGGCCCUAGAGGACCACAUCAUGAAAAAUAGAAAAAUGUUUACAAAAUGUCACUUUGAAAGAUUACUUUCACUCCAUCCAGAAAAUCUGAAUUGGUGGAAAAAGGUGGGGAUUCCAGACAACAUGAUCUACUUAUGAUUGACACAUGAAUGUGCUAUUUAUUUAUUAUUUUUUUUUUUUUUGGGCAAGAGGAUCAACAGUGGGACUCUAUCUAACCACUGUCAAGUGUAGCGCAUUCCACAUUGAGAGCUAUUGAUACUACUGCUUGGAUCAAAUCCAGCAAUAGAAAAACUCAAUCGUCAGAAAAUUCAAGAAGAAAGAUGGCCAUAGCUAGCGUAUGGCAUUGGUGCCUCAACAAAAUGUGUACGACAAGUACAAAUGCAAGCUACCAAAAUUUUUGCAUACAUUUUCCCAACUUAGAAAUCAGCUUUUUCAUCAUGAAGAUUUUUCCCUUGUAAAUUCAGUUGAAGUACCAAUUUCUACCUUAUUAGUAUCCCGUUCUCCAAUUUCUACCUUUCAACAAGAAGAUGGUUUCUCUGAAAGUGUUCAGUAAUUUAAGACAUAUCCUCAGGAGGAAGACUUUCAUUUGCUUUAACAUAUGGAUUUGGGGACUAUAAGACUUCUAGAAGACAACCAUCAGGAAAAAUAUCAAGUUUUAAACUCACUUUACACCCUUUACUGUACCAAAAUUCUUACAUGGUGCCUAAACUUCAAAAUGAGACACCGUUUUGCCCCAUUCAAUUGAAAUCAUUGAGGAAGUCGAACAGAUUUUAGACCGACUAUAAUAAAAUAAUUUUAUAUUUUAAGGCCUAAAGUGAAAUAAAUUAUAUACUUUAGGGAUUAAAGUGAAACAAUUUUUAUUGUUCAGAAAUUAAAGUGUCCUAUCUUAAAAUUUAGGGAUUAAAGUGAGAGUCUGGGUAUAAUUAAAGGGUGCAAAGUGAAAUUAACGUAAGUAUUAAUCGUACGACCAAAGGGAAAGCAUUAGUCUCUACAGCAUUGUAGUAAAAAAUAUUUAACAUUAAAGCGAAGAUAUCAACUUGAAACUCCAAAAAAACAACAAAAAAAGAAAAAGAUAUCAACUCGAAACGAAGAAAAAAGAAGAUAACUCCCUAGAGGUCAGAAGAAGACAUUUAUAAUAAUGUUUCAGACUUCAGCUACCGCAAGCAAAAGCCUAACAAGUUCAGCAGGCAACAGUAAAAUCUGCAAAAAAGGUAUAGAAACCUACGUAAUGGGAAAACAAUCGGGUUCAAGAGCUAUAGGAACUUACAAUAAUCUCAGCUACAACCCGCGGCUGUCUUAAAGGCCUCAGAAGGUAUGCAAGAGUCCUUGUCAGGACAAUGACUAGGCAUAUCUGUAAGAUUACCAGAGGAAGUGCAUAAUCAAGGGGUGUCUCCCCUUGGAAGACUCCAUUUGAGGUAGCCUUCAUUGGCGCGGGCAUUUUACCGUAGCAUUUGAAGCCAUUGCGCACCAGAAGAGCCCCAGAUAGAGCAGCAGAAUCUACGGAUUCUUUUAUCAAGCCUGCAUAAAUAUUAUGCAAUGGCUUCAUCCAAUCAGAUCAUUAGCAAUAUCAUACACUAGAACAAGUUAAAGAAUUAUGUUUUCUGUCAAGCAGGAUUAUUUUAUUCUUCCUCUCAAGUGUCACCAAAUCACGUGAAGAGGCCACAAAGUUGCUACGACAUUGUCAGAACUGCAUUUGAAUGACAUUUCCAGAAGCAAUAAAAAAUAUAGGGAAUCAGCGAAUGUCAUAGAGGAGAAAAGAACAGAUUUUGAUGCUCUACAAAUAACAGAAAACGCCACCUAACUCCCUGAGGAAAAAGUGCAAUAUCAUACCCCUAAAAUUUUUCCAAAAGAAACUUCCUAGGCAAUCAGCAGCUCGGCGCAGCCAACGCUUCAAUGUUUCCCCUAAUCACAUCCGGCAUAUAAACCAGGCCAAGACUUUAGAGAAAUGGGGGUUUCAGAUGAUAAUUUCGUGAAACAAGCUCACUGAAUUAUCAGCUAUAAGUCGCCAAAAAAUCAGCACUUCACAGCACCUGGCUAAAUCCCUUUCAACCAAAAGCGUCAUUUAUUUGUUUUUUUUUUUGUACCCCCGCCUUUUUCGGUCGGGAAAAGAGAAGAAUAUUUCAGAACCGCACCUUUUUUCCUUCACGCCUUUACCACACACAAACGACAUAUGUCAACCGUUGACAGGCCCGUCUAAAUAUAGUCAGUAUUAAUUACAGUGACCAAUAAAGGUCGGUACUAUUCUCGUAGAGCAUCUCAUAAGUCCUAAUAGGGCGGCAAUCGGGCCAUAUCGGGUUGGCACGUCGGGUUAAGACUCAAAUAUAACAAAAGAUUCAUUGAUCCGAAUUUGAAAAUUUCGAGUUGACGGGUCGACUUGAAUGACUCAAAACUUAAUUUUAAUUUAUUAAUUUAUUACUAUAAUUUCUAAUAAAAUCAAUUUCACACAAGACUAAUUACAUAAUCAAGUAAUAAAAUUUAAAUAAAUAAUCCCAAACCAAAUAUAAAAUAAAUUAAAAUAGUAUAAAAGUAAAAAAAAUUAAUAGUGAAAUUAUCCCAAAUAAUAUUUCGCUUACAUCAUAAACAUAUUUUUCAAUCCACAUUUUUAUCUCACAUACAUCACAUCAUAAAAAAGUGCUACGGUAAUUAUUUCAAAUAAUAUUUCAAAUAAUACCCUAUCCAAACAAUUAUAAUACAUAUUAUUUGUCCAAAUAUAAUAAUAUCAACUUCACACAAAUUAAAUAAAUUCAUGUAGGAUUAAGUGAUUAAUGCCUUUGGAAAAAAGAAUAACUUAGUUUAGUCAGAUAAAAUAAUUUUUAUGUUUAUUAAAUUAUUUUUAAUUCGUAAAUGAGUAAUCGGACCAUAUCGGAUCACUCACGGGUUGACUCGAAUUCGAUCCGUUUUCUUUUCGGAUUCAUCGAGUUCGAUUCGAUUCUGAUCCGAACUCGCGAAACCUUAAUCCAAAUCCAUUAAUUUCGUGUUAAGUUCAUGUAGUAUUUUCAGAUCGUAUCGGAAAUUGUCACCCCUAAUCUCAUUUCAAAAUUUAACCAAAAAAUGGAAAUCCUAUCUCAUUUCAAAAUACGGAAAUGGUAGGGAAUCCAACCACUGCCAUUGGUACUACUGUUAAUUCCUUAUUAAUUAUAGCGGCCCAUUCUGAUUAUUAUUCUCAUUAACUGACAUUUAAAGAUUCGGACCAGGAACAAAUUGAGCUUUUCAUGAUAAGGAGUGUGAAAAUUCUCAAGUCCUUUUCUUUCAUAACAAAUUUUGAAUGUUGAUUUCACACUUCAACGACCGCCAGAUAAGCCAAAUCUUUUCAAGUACUAUCCAAAUUGAAGACUAGAAUUUUUUUUUUUUAACACAAAGAUUAUCCCAACUUUGCCAAAUUAAUUUCACUAAGCAUUUGUAUCCCGCCCGAAGAAUAUACAAGCGGCAGAAAGGUGAUUCGAACACACGAUCUCGGGAUCUAACUAAAUUAUCCUAAAACCAUCCUGGCCAACUCCAGGGGCAAAAGACUAGAAUUAUAUAUUCAUACCAAAUUCAACAAUAAGCUCCACAAGUACACAGAAAUCAGUCCGUGUCGGAAAUUAACAAACCGAGUACAUUGAAUUUUUUGAUAACCAAUUAACUGCAACUUUUUUUUUUUGGUGUUAUUUUCUGAACACGAAUCCAACUACCUUUUUGGCUAAUAUUAUAUCAUGUAAUUAAAGUACUAACGUAAAUAAUACAAUUUUUUUCAACUAAUGUUCAAUUUGGACUAUCAAGUUUAUUCGAAAUCCCUCGUAUCUCCAGGUAUUUUACAAUAUAGAUGAGAUAUUCGAAUCGAUCCCACAAGAAACAAAAUAACAAUUACUAAAGUUUUAAAUCUGCCUUAUUAUCUAAACUAUUAAAAGGAUUAGUGAAAAGGAAUUUGGACAAACAAAUAAAAGUAGUACAACAAAGCCAGAUUAUAACUUACUAAAAAUGAUAAACUUGAGAUGAAAUAUUCAAAGUACGGCUGCAAAUCGUCCCUUGAAAUUUCCAUUCAAAAAGAACUUCAAGAAAAACUGCUGCACACACGGUUUAGCGAUCACCAAACUUCAUAUUUUUAAGUUUUAGAGUCUUCUGUGACAUGCUUUCAAUAAAUGUAACAUUUUUAUAGUGAAAAAGCGAAUAUAUCCACAAGGUUAGUCUUAGUAUCGGACAUUAAAAAUCCUCGAGAAAGAAAUUCUAACGGGUGAAUAUGUCAUUCAUGAAUCAUUUUUCAGUAACGUCAUUCAUGAGGCGACAAGGGACUUACUGCGUUGCAGCAAAACUUGAGAAGACUCCUCAUAGUCACAUUUGACAGAGGAACUAGUGAUGCCCUUAAAAGUUAAAAGGGUCCACCAAUGAAAAGAAAUGUUACCUCGAGAGUGUGUUUGGAUACAAAACUUAUUUUAAAUAAUAUUUCACUUGCAUCGUAAACAUAUUUUUCAAUUCACAUUUUUAUAUUUCUAAUCAUAUUUUUAUCUCACAUACAUCACAUCACAAAAAGUACUACAGUAAUUAUUUCAAAUAAUACUCUAUCCAAAUAAAUCCUUGUUUGGAUUCUAAUUUUUUUUUAAAAAAAAAUAUUUACAUAUCCAUCAAUCACUUUUUAAUAUUAUAUAUAUUAACUCAUCAAAUCGAAUCGCUGCAGCAUAUAAUUAUAAUAUACAGUAGUGAUUAAUUUUUUUUAAAUCGUUAGAGUACGUUAACGACAUGUACAGUCUAACCGGAAAGCUCGUCGAAAAUUACAAAUCAAGAGGCUCUGGCCCCAAAGAGUUGCAAACCGACAUGUGACGUGAGGAAAAGCGCAACUUCUGCUUGACAGACAACCCACACGGUCAAAUAAAUUAAGCCGCCACCCCCCCCCCUCCGGCCCCCGCUGGUGUACUAGGUUUCACAUCGUGACAUGUUCCCCACUGGUGUAAGCAAGCUGGUUGUUUUAUGUCCAGCACUGCCACCACCUUCCCCCACAAAAAUUCAUAAAAAGAAAACAUAUUUAGAAGUUUAUUACUAAAACCUUUCAUAAAAUGCACUGAUUAUUUUUGCUUCUAAUUUGCAUGGCGUGGCUUUCUCACGACUCGCUAGUAGACCCUCUUGUAAAUGGCGCCUCAUCUUGAUCUUAUGCCCUUUUUAGAUUCAUCCAAAAUUGCAACUAGUCUGUGUUCCCUGUUUACCCCUCCAUAGCUUAAAACUGCAACGACGACUCAUCUUUCCAUUAUCUGUUGUCAGUUUCUAGCGACUCUGACGUUCGUGUAGUCUACCAAGGUUUCCACUUUUUCUUUUUUUCUGCUUUGUUUAUUCGGGUUAAAUUUGACAGUUAAAACUUAAAACCAAAGACAAGAUAAUAAUUAAUAUACUGUAGCACGAGAAAGAAAAUUCAAUGGAGAAUAAGCCACAGAAGCAGUCAGCCAGCCCAUAACACACGCUUCAUUUCAUCCCUCACCGUUUUCAGUUUUCAAACCUUAAUGCGUUUACCCCAAAAAAAAAAAAAAACCCCCAAAAAGAACACGAACAUCAUCAUUUACGCAACAUAAUAAACACUUAUGAGACACCCUUUUCUCAAAUGCAGAAGGAAUUCAUUAGCAAAGAAACAGAGAUGCAAACCCAUAUAUAAGUACAGAGACAGAGGGGGAACCUGAAUCUGGAGAAUCUGGAGAAGUUCUAAUGAUAAGAGGGUAUAUCCAUUACACCCUCAACGUUCUCGAUUUUUUUUUUCUUUUUGGGUUCUUUUUCUGUGGAAGAGCUUAAUAUGAUUAAUGGUCUGGAUUUGUUGUUCCGGUGGUGGGUCCUGGGGUUCUGGGAGGGAUGAAUAUUGAAGGAAAUGAUUGGUAGAGACAAAAGAGGUCCGCUCCAAAGAUGAAGGAAUGGACGACAAAGUUCGGAAAACCGGUACAGAGAAAGAACGAGACACGCAGAUAUAUAUAGAGAGAGAGAGAGAGAUAGAGAAGCUUUGACGGAACAAACUGGUUGGGCCGUAAUAAAAUACUUUAUUAACUAGAGUUGUUACGAUGGAUUGAACGUAGUUUUUCGUUCUCCUUAAAAAAAAAAGGGGGUUGGGGGGGGGGGGGGGAAGGUUUUUCGCUUUCUGCCCUUUGUCUUGGCUCUGGCGGGUUGACAGGGACGGCCAUCCCGUGAGCCGUAGUUAUCGAACUGCCAAAGCUUUUGAUCUGCCCAUGAUUCCAUGGGAUUCGAUGCAAAUUGGGCAACUUUGGCGCAAGUAUUCAAGUAAAUAAUUGUUAUUGCUUUUUCUUUUUUGGGUAAUUAUUACUAUUAUGCAACAUUAAAAUACACCCUGUAUUCCUAUUCUGGAUUCAGAUGAGAAGGGAUGAAUUUACCUUAUUUAUGGUUUGAAUUCUUGGGAUUCUCUUGAAUGAGCCAUUCUUUUGUUGGAUUCGUUUUGGAAAACUUUUAAAGUGUACCGGAUGUACAAUAAUUGGAUCCUGUACUAAUAGGACAAUAAUUAUGUAUUAGAGUUGACGUAAGCAUUGUGUUUUGCUCUUUGGUAAAACUCCUGUAGUAAUUUAAUUCUAUUUUCAACUAAUAUGAUAAUAUAUAUAUUUAUAUAUAUAUAAAGGCAGAGAAACGGCAGUUGAUGUAAGCAUUUUUUUUUUUUCAUUUUUUGAACUUUCAAUUUUAUCCUUAUAUAAACUAAUUUUUGCCUUAAUUACUUAAUCCUAAAAUUUUAUUACUGUCAAAACAUGAGAAGUAAGCAAAGGAGGGUUUUUUUUUAAUGCAUUAUAGACUUUAUAGCGGUAGAUACACUACUAAAAAUGGGUGGUGGGAUAUAAUAUAACAUCGAUGACCUCGCAAGUGAGUUUUUGAGUGUUUAUCUAAAACUUUACUGUAACUACUGUAGAAGUUUUUAAAAAAAUUUUUGAAAUGUGUUUUUUAAAAAUAUUUUAAAGUGUAUAGUUUAAAAUUUUUGAGAAGUUUUUUGAUGUUACUGUAAUUAAAGUUUUACAAAAACUUGUAACAGAUAAACUUGACUAAAAACUGGCCGGCCAAACAAGGUAGUGAUAAAAAAAAGAACAAGGCAUGAAGAUUCAGAGCAGGACUUUUCCUCAUUGGAGGGAGUCCACAAGAUGGGCAUGUCCCGCCAUCUGUAUGCAUGCCCUUGUAUCCUCAUAUGAUAUUGACCAGAGUAUCAGGCGCAAAGUUUGACAUUCGUUACAAUUAUUAAAAUCUUCAAUUAUUAUAUCCCGCCAUAUGGUAAGUUAUCAGGUGGGUAUUUUUCAUGAUCCAUUAACCAUUGGUGGGUAUUAAAUUGAGAAAUACUUCUUGUUUUCCUGAUCACGCGCAUAUAAUUAGUAACGAAUAUGUUAAAACAAUAAAUAGAAUAUCCAAAUUUUCAUAGGAGAAAAGGGGAGAAGGGAAAAGCACUUACCUCCGUUAUGAUACAGGAUGAGUCUGAUACACACGACAAACAAGUGAACAACUCACAAAGCCGUAGUCACGAGCUCUCCAAAACAAGUCCUAGAUUUCUACCUGGCGAAAAGUAAGUGGCGGGCAGCAAAAAGAAGUGGACAACAUUACGUUACAACUGAAAGCACGCAGGGGUAAAAUUGGAAAGGUCACGGGAGUCUCAUCUCAAUUCUCAAGAACAGCCGACAGUGUAAAGAAAGAUGCGUCCCCCAUCGGUGAACUUGCAGAAGACAGUCGGACGCUGUAAUUUGGGUUCAGAGGGAUUGGAAUAUUGGUGUCGAACCAUGCAUGGUUCGUUCUUAAAAAAAAAAUUUUGUGGGGCCAUCGCAACAUGUAGCUUUUUUUUUUUUUUUUGGUGAAAAUUUGGAGCCCGUCGCGCCAUGGGCAUAGUUUGAUACUAUGCUUUUGCAGACCAGCAUUUGGUUGAUUUUUUUUAGAAAUUGACAAUAUUUUGAAGAUUUAGCCGGAAUAUUGGCUGAUGAGGAGGUGCAAACAGCUGAGGUACUUUUGACUCACGAAGUCAAACCCCAAUAAGGUUGUCAAUUUGGGUCUUUGCUCAACCGGCUGUGUAGUUUACAACAUAUCAAUGAAAUUAUCUACCGUUUUCUGGAAAAAAAAAAAAAAAAAAAAAGGUCCAACCCUCAUUUUGUGAAACUCAUUGACCCGUAUCAGCUCGGCUUCCCCAAUAAAAUGACCAAUGAACACUGAAUUUUGGGCCCUUCAACAUACGGAAUAUUUAAGUGGGAGUGGGUGAGAACUUGAUGCAACGUGAGAUAAAAAGGGUUAGUAUGAAAAUUUUAUCCAACGCAGUGUUUAAUGCUUAAACGACUUAAUUUGAUAUAGACAACGUAUAAGUUGCCUUAGAAAAUUGUAGAGCAGGCCUUGAUCCAAUGAAUGAUUAAGGGACUGAUUUCAAGAAUUAAAAAGAUUCUAACCUUUUGAAUUUCACCUCUCUUUUCUGCUGUGAAAGAAUUUUGAUCCAAUGAUUAAGGGAGAGAUUUCAAGAACUAAAUCUUCUAACCUCUUAAAUUUCACCUCUCUUCUCUGCCCAGAGAAAGAAUUUAAAACAAAAUUACAAAAUCAUAGGACUAACAUGAUAAGUCUAGAAUAUAAAUGGUGAAAAAACGAACUCGGUGGAAAAUUUUUACCCCCUGCCUUUGAAUGGCCCCAGCAUGUUGACUUUCCUCUUGUGUGGUAAAAAUGGAUUUACAAAAUUUGCCAAAGGAACACGUAUAAAUUUUGUAUUUAUUGACCUUAUAAUAUUUUUUUUGUGUCAGCGUCAUUCAUAUAGUCUUUGCAGAGGAACAGAUAAUGACAUCACCUUAAGUCAUAGCAGGUUGUUCCGGCAUAAAUAAUCAUCAGUUUGUUUGGAUAAGAAUUUAUUUGCAUGAUUUAUUUGAAAUAAUUAUCGUAGCACUUUUUGUGAUGUAAUAUAUAUGAGAUAAAAAUGUGAUUAAGAAAAUAAAAAAAUAAUUAAAAUUUAUAAAAUAAAUUUUUUUAUUUAAAAUCAAGCCAAUCCAAACAAAUCAACGUAUCUGUUCCUCCACUGCAAGAGGAGUGACGUCAACCAUCAAAAAAUUUGACAUUAUUCCUGUCCUGUGGGGUCCGGUUAAAUCAUCCACAAUAUCUUGUUGCAUACAUGUGACGUUAUGUCAUUAUUUUUUUAAUAUAUAAGAGAUACUUUUGCCUUACUGUUCAAGGCCAGUUUCAUCUGCUCUUCCAAGGCCUUACCCGUCAUUUUGCCCUCCAUCCGGUGUUGCUCAUAUAUUUUCUCAUCCUCUUACGCAGGACAAUUUUGUGUGUAAGAACUAAGAAGUGGAGAUUUUUUACCUUCAUAUUACGCUUUUGCCCUUGGUCUACUUAUUAUUCCUUUAUUUACCCUCAAUAAAUUCUUUUUUUUAUGGUGCUGUGAGUGUUAUGAAAUUGGGCUUUUUUGUCAAUUCCUUUGACAAGAUUGCUGGGUUACAUCAAUAAACAGUAAUCUCAGCCUCCAAUUUACACUUUUCUCCUUAAAGAUGUCUUUCUUGUGGAUUAUAAGAUUUUAGCUUGAGGUCAUCAUUGAAAAGUAAAUUUUAUGCCCCCACUUGCAUGAAUCUGUUGUUCCCAAUGCCAUAUUAAGCACAAUGGUAUACAGAUUAGUCAUGCGCAUAUGUACUGAUCUCCGUCAAUUUGCUUUGUUCUAUUUGCUUUCAUCUCCCACUGCUUUGCUUCCUUUGCAUUGCCGCUGCUGGUACUCAUCAUUUUACUUCCUUCUGUUUUAUAUUUUAUAUUAUAUUUCCUCAUUUUUGUUCCACCAAAUCUGGAUAAUGAUCCCGCACAUUAUUACGCACCUGAACACGAUUACGCUCCCUCUGCGCAAAACACUAAGCUUAAACUUAUAAUAAACUUUUACCAUCCACUAACAAAUUACGUUUGACCAAACUAACUUAUAAAACUCAAUGCUCAAUUCAAAACAAAACAAUACUAUACACAUGUAAACAAAGAUUCCAACCAUACAAAAAAAAAAAAAAAACAACAGCAACAAAAAGCUGCAGCUUCACAGACAUCUUUUACAUAAAAUAAUUUCUGCAACUCACAAUUAGCUACAUAAAUAAACAACAUUUUCCCAUGUUUUACUUCAGAAAAUUUAACCCAAGUAACUUUCCCAUGUUUUACUACCAAUCUUUCCACACAAGCAUUUUCCUAAUACCUAAAACAAAACAGGCCAACCCCAGCACCACCCGCGCCUCUCGCGGGAAAAACAACCUAGUAUUGAUAUACAUUGUAGAUUUUACGUGAAAAUAUAACCUAAAAAAUGUACUAAAUUUCAGAAUUUUCAGUAAUACGUAGCAUGUUUUUCAAAUUUGACUUGAAUUCUAAAUAUUCUCUUAAAAUUUGCAUAAUCUUAUAAUCAAUGCAAAAAAUUUUCACAUUAAAUUGAUUACCUAGAAUGUGUGGAAUCAGCUGAUCAAUUCAGCGAACAGUCCAAAGUCAAAAAAUUGGACAGAAGACCAACCAGGAAGAAGUACGCGUCCGCUGGAUAAUUUUUCUUAAUCAGCAUGCUACUAAUCCUUGGUUGGCUAAAGUUGAUAAGCAAAUACAUUGCAGACUAAUCUAAUCCUAAUGGAUAACUUGAUUCUGUGGGUAGCUGCGGUCUUUUUAUUAACCCUUCAUCUUUCAGAAUAUCAUUUAGCCUUUUUCUAUUUUAUCCCAGAAGUUGCUCAAAGCAUCAAGAACCGCGUUUAAAGGGUUUAUUAGGUUAAAUGAUGGCUUCAGUUAAAAGAUGUCUUGGUUUGUGGAAGGAUGUGUCAUAAAACUGGAAUAUCCAAUCUCUUCCCUCCACCCCACUGUCGGAGUGCAGAUCCGCGAGGAAAUAAGGACAGCUGGUAGUUGCUAAAAACAUCAAGAACCGCAAUUAAAUUUAAAGGGUUUCUGUGGUUUGAAUGGUGACUUCAGUUGCAGAUGUCUUGGUCUGGGGCAUUCACAAUCCCUAAGGAUGUACGGACGUUGGUGCAAGGUGCUUGCAUCACUUUACCAUAAAAUCUCGGGUUUGAAAGAAAAUAUAACGUUGGGAGAGCUACCCCUAUGGCGUCCGAUCCGGCUCAAACAGAAUUAGUCGCAGAUAAUAAAAUAGAUACGGACACCAGUGGAUUAUACCAAAAAAAAAAAAAAAAAAAACAAUCCCUAAGGAUGUGUCAUAAAAACUGUAAAAAAUCCAAUCUCUUCAGUCCACUCCACCCCACUGGUCGGUGCAGAUCCGUGAGGAAUUAGCAGCAUUCUUUUAAUGGUUUCAGUACCUGCAGCCUUGGUCCAAAACCAACACACACAUAUAUAUAGUUCAAAUUAUGUAAUAUACAUCGUUGUUUUUUACAUCACAUACGUGGUUCAUAAAAUUUUAGUUUAUAUUUAUACUGAAUUUAAAGCUGUUCACAUUUUAAACAAAUGAAUCAUAUUUUGUCGGAUUAAACAAAAUCAUUCCGAGACGGUUUACCUGGCUAACUAUUUGUACAGCGACUUCAUCAGUGAGACCAUUUUUAUCUCAAACUAGUAUUGAAAGGGCUGGCCGGACCUUGGCUCUUAUUUGUUUCAUUUUUCUUCUGAUAUUAUGGCAAGGCUUUUGCCAUUGUCUUGCGAGCACUGACCGUGACAUCUUGAAAUCCAAUUCCUACUAUACCAUAGAUACAUACGCUUUUAUUUUUCUGGGAUUUUGGACGGACGAGAGGAUUCAGAUCAUGCCAUCCUCUCUUAGUGCCUACAAGUCAUUUGCUUGAGGAAUAUAUGAAGCUCUUCAUGACCUCCAUUUGUCAUUUAAAGAUCAUGAGAAAACCCUUGUUUAUUCAAUGGAAGAGAAUAAUUAAGAUGAACCUUCCUUUCCUUUCUGGAGGGUAUAAGACAGAUUAAACUAGCUAGGCUUGGUGGUUCUUGUGCCAAUGGAAACGAACCCUUUCCAUUGCUUAAUCUUUGCCUGUCAGAACUGUGCUUAAUUUAGCGUUGAUAUGUGACAAGAGAAUAAAUCGUUUAAUUAAUUACAGCAUUCAAACCAAGGAUUUGCUCUAUUCAUUCUGCACGAUUAGUUUGCUGGACAUCAUUUUGAAAAAGUAGGAUCCGAGUUCCGAAAGUUAUUGUUUUACCCUGACUUAACUUCAUACAAGUUAACAAGACUGUCUUAAAAUCAAAUGACAUGAUUAAUCUUAAAUGGACGAUUCUACGAGAGAUUAUGGCGUAAGUUGUCCUGAAUUAAAAUUUAAGGUGCAAAAUAAGAAUUGGAUACAAGGUUGCAAAAUGGAUGCAUAUGCGCAUGGUAUAUCCAUUUCCUAAUGCUUUUGAACAAAUCAUCAUGUCGUAGGAGUAAAUCAAUAAUAUCGAUGACGGGAAAUCUUGAAACGGGGUUGUAUUCAAAAUGCACAUUCAUCAGGGUUGUAUAGAUUUAAUAAGCCGCGUCCAUCUGGUUGACUUAUCCAUCAGAUAAGCCACGUCCAUAUGGUUGACAGCUUCAGCUUGUAUGUCCAUCUCAGAUUGGCAUGAUUUUCGAAAUAGUGCUUCAACUAAAUUAAGCUCAAAUCGCAUUAUCCUCCUAACCAAUCAUUGAAGUAAAAAGGUAUAAACUAGGUGGCUGAUUGAUGCAAAGUUCUUCCGCUCGUGAUGCCAAAUGAAACUUGAAGCAUGCAAAUAGAUGCUUCAUCUAUAAUGUGAAAGUUGCUCCUAAAAAAGCGCAUCAAAGGCUUGCUCCUCCCGCAUCCAGUAAUUGCCAUAAUAUAGUAAUUUCAGUGGUGUCUUGUCAUUCGAGAGUGUAAACUCCCUUAUUAGAUUCCUUGGCAAUUCGCCCAGAUGGGAUGAUCCAAUGGUACUUACAUUAGCCAUCUUAUUUGAUUAGUUUAGACCAUCAAGAAAAAUAAAAAAAAACCUAACAUCAGAAGUCUGCUGCUCAAUCGAUCUCUGACAGAUAUAUAUGUGGUCCUGGUUUUCUUACUUCAAGUUAAUUAACAUAUUAUACUAGGUAUGAGUUGACAUCGGAUCUAGUCUGAAGAAUCACACGAAUAUACUGGUAUGUGUCCCAGGUUUCCUAGCUACUUCAUAUGGUAGGUAUGAGUUGACAUCGAUCGUAUCUAGUGAAAGAAUCAUAUGAAUAUAUACAACGAAAAUUUUAAAAAUAUGAUUCCAUUACUAGAUUUGAGGCGGAAGAAGAUAAAGAGAUCUAAUUAGCCACACGCAUGUUCAGCCUCUAACGAUGAUCUACACGAACUUUCUUAAUUAGAAUCUUUCAGUUUGAAUUAAUUUUGCUAGAUUAGUGCUAACCAUUGUUAAGAGAAUCUUCUAGUUUGAAUUAACUUUGAUGGAUAAGUGCUAACUAUUGCCGAGACAAUAGGGAUGGCAACGGGGCGGGUUGGGGCGGGGGACCCCUCCCCCAUCCCCCGCCCCGCUGCCUACGAACUCCCUCCGCCCCCACCCCAUCCCCGUCCCCAGCCCCGCUUCUCUCGCGGAGCUAAUAAAAAUUUGUUAUAUAAUUUUUUCCUUACCAAACAUUGUUAGAUUUGUUCCUUACCAAUCUAGGUUUUGGUUACCAUAAAAAAAAAAAAAAAGGAAUUUUUUCUACGAAGGGAUUCGUCUACUUUCAUUGAUACAUUCAUAACUGUGGCGCAGCUGGGGCAACAAAUGUUGCAUUUUGUUGGUUGGUUCAUCGUAACAUGACCAACUUAAUUACGGUGAGGUCAUGAUGCAUAAAUUGUCCUCUGGAUUCAUUGUUGAUGUGUUUUUGACUUAAGUUUAAUUUUGAAUGUUGUUUGAAGUAACCAUCAAUUUGCUUCUUAUCUCCGGAUAUGUAAUUAUUGGCAGACAUUUCAAACACCAAGCUAACUUGAAGAAUUUAAGAUUAUGGCCAUAUUCUCAAGUGAUUUUAGAAAGCUAUAUAUUUUGUUGACUGAUUUUAAAAACUAAAAUUUUAAAUUUUUUUGGGUCCAAAAAAGCUGAAAAUCAGAAGUAGGUCUUGAGGUGCUUUUGAAUUCUGAUUCUGGCCUACUUUUUCAUCUGUAUAAAAAUACCUUUCAAAUUUUAACAUAAUUAUUAAACUACUGAAACAAAUUACGUACGUAGCUUUCUUAUGUUGUUCGCCUCUCUUUAUUGUGCUCAUGCUCUCAUCCUACUUCUAGAUUCAUCUAUCUCUCCUUUUUUUUUUUUUUUUCUCAUCUAACGUUUAAUUUUCAUAAGAAAAGAAAUUAAUUACAACAAAAUCAUUUAAUUAGCACAAAACUUCAUUUAUGUAGCAGAUAAGGCUAAUUUGUUGGUUAUCUUUUUUUUUUUUAAUCAAUAAUAUCAGCUUUUUAAAAAAAAAAACUUCUUUUGAGAACAGCUAUGUAUGUAUGUAUUCAUUAAAAUAGCUUUUUUUAAUAGUAAAUGAGAACACACGGGUUAUUAUGAAAAUUUUGAUUUUCAAGAAUCAAUUUUACAAAAUCAGAAUCAGUUGAGAGCAAAGCAAACCCCGCGGUAUCAUGUAAUCUGGCACCAAACAUCAACGGCUUUAGUAUUUACUGGAUCCCAAUCCUGUACGGCCGGGCAGUAGUAUAUUGAAAGUGCAUGGAUAAAGAAAGGUACAAUAAAAGGUCAAGGGCAAAGGCUUGUCCAACUUGUCGCAUAUGUAGAAUUAUUUAUAGGAGUCUAUCAGAGAUAGCCUGUUAAAUUAGCCAGUUGGACCUACUGGAAUCUAACCUCCCCUACCAAGGCCUUUGGACUUUAAGAAAAACAAAAUUGAAAAGAAUCAGUUGGAAUAGAGUUUCGCUCCCCGGCCCAAGAGUCCAAGCCCAAGAUCGAAUAUGGGUGCUAGGUGCCAAAUUGGCCACAAUGUAAUUAAACUUUACCUUUGUCCUUAAUACCCACCUUAAUUGACAAGAGCGUGAAAUUUGCAUCUUUUGUACCUUCCUAUAUUAAUAACAUAUUCCUUAAGAAUCUUAAUGAGCAAUUAACAAUUAAGUGAAACAUAUUAAGUGAAACAAUUAACUUAAAAUUAUUAUUUUGUCAUGAUUGAGGAUUGUUUUAUAGGAAAGGAUUUAAUAGAAAGGUAAUUGUCUCACCACAAAGAUUACCCUCAAUUUCUUCAUAUUCAUUAAUGUUAACAUGUUAAAGCCAGUUUAUCAUUGAAGAUUACGGUUAGAAAACUUUGCAAUCUUCCACAAGGGCCAAAAGUCAAUAUCCAUUGUUGCCGUCAAGAGCCUUUUAUUUUAUUUGCUUUAUAUACACUUCAAAAAAACUACUACAUAAAAUUCUACCAUGUUAAAAUGGGUAAUAGUUUCAGAAAGCUAUUGGGAAGGAACCAAACAAUUUCGAUGAUUCAGACAACAGUACGAUACUGGCAUUGAAGAUUAUUGAGCGGUGAAGUAGCUCGAUUGUUGAUUCUAGCCUGCAAUUCACAUCUCUUGGAAAGGUAAAAAUGAACAUGUGGGCAGGUAAUAAAUAUAUUCCACUUUUGCCUGUAUCAUAGUCAAUAGCCAUAGGACAUAGGACCCUCUCCUCAUAAAAAGUUUACUUGCCAUGGAGCCACAACAGAAAGAAUCCCAGAAUUCCAGUUCCGCCAUGAGAGCCAUAGUCCGCAGACAAAAAAGUACAAGUACAAAGAUGGAUGGAUUUGUAAGAAAACUAGCUAAGCCUAGCAGCAAGUUAAACCAUAUGGACAAGUAGGUGAAAAGAGAAGAGAGAGAAGAAGGGAUGAGAAAAGAAAAUGAAAAAGAAAAGAAGGCAACUUUGAGGUGUAGACUCUAGACAGAGAUGAAAAGGAGAGAAAAAAGUGGGAAAGGGCCAGCAGAAAAGCAAGAAAAUUUGGGGGAAAAGUUGAAGAGAGUAGGGAAAAGAGGGGACAUAGCACUCCGGUUGUACCCUUUUGGAGACUAGAGCUACAAUUACAACUACAACAACAAAACCUCCCCGCCCUCUUUUAGCUGCCAAUAGUACUAGUGCUGCUGCUCAUCAUCAUAGUUGGGGUGGUGGGGGCGGUGGCGAAGAAGCUGAAAGGGUGCAAGUUACCAACGCUGGAGUCAGCCUUUUUCAGUUUCCUUCUGUUUCGGCAAGAAAACUCGCUGCCACCCUUUGGGAACUUCAUCAUUACAAGCUGCCUCUUUCUAGAAUGCACCAGGGUGUCGGCAUAGCUCCUCCGAGAAUCCGACGCCUCCACUACCACCAGCACCAUCAGCACCACCCUUAUGACGACAAGGGUGAUCUUCAACACCCUGAUCCUUCACCUAGUUCGCCUGACCUGGUAUAUAGACUCUUCUAUUUUCUUUCAUGGGUUAUUCUUUCUUUUUCCCUUUUUUUCCCUGCGAUAUCUUGUCAGCUAGUUUUACUGGGUUUUAAUUGUUUUGGCUAUUGGUCUAUCAUUCAUGAGUUUUCUUGGGAUAUUCCUGUUCUUGAUUUUCACCAUUUUUUUGUUGUGAUCUGUAAAAGCUUUGAUCUUGGAACUUAGCAAUUUGACGAGGCGUCCAUCGUUUUGGGUAAUGUUUGAUUGUUUUGAUAAUUGUGCUUCUUAGGCGGCCAGGGGCUUGCCUAACUGCAAUCAUUUCAUCCUUAUGGAAUUUCUCUUCUCAAAUUGGUGGCCAGGGGCUCUUGUCAAGCUAAUUGCAAAUACUAUGUCGCUCGAUUAUAUUGUUGUCUCUUGGACAAUGGGCUGUUUUUUAGGUUUAGGGGUUAGGCUGCUUGUGGUUUCCAUCAUGCAUCUGAUGGCGAAUGGGGUGCUUUACUUUCUUAUGAAAUAUGUCAACUUGUAUUGGUGUUUCUUUACUUCACAGGAAUGGAAUUUUGGAAUGUGUGCCUAAGUUGGGUUUAUAUUUUCUCCCCUUAAUCAUGGAACUUACUUCUGAUGAUCUUGUAUUGUGGAUAUCAUAUAGAUGUUCAGCACGCACUGUCGUGCUUUUGGAAUAUUUAGGAAUGGAUGCAUCAUUUGAUCUUUCAUGUGCUUCAUCGAUAAAAUUAAUUCAAGCUGGCAUAGUUCUAUGUUCUAAUGUUCACUUUGCUGAUAACUUCUCCCAUUUUCUAAUGCCAGCCCGGAAGUGCUAGCAGUUUGAGGAGGCAUGUCGCUUUACUGAUGCAACAUCACCGACCCACUGAAAGAAGCAAUCAUGCCUUACAACCUGUUUCUCCUGCUAGUUAUGGUAGUUCAUUGGAGGUACACAUCAUGUUCUUUGCUCUUUCCUAAUACAGCUUGACUUGUCUUUGCUUGUAACUGUUUUAUGGAGAAACCAUUUGAAGAAUCUUGAUCUCUUUUAAGUUUGCUGUAGCUUGCUCUGCAUUUUUUGGCCUCGUACGUUAACUCUAUGGACAAAAUCCAGAUUUAUCUUUUCAUUAUCUUUAUAAAAUAACAUGAUUUAACUUGUCCUAUUAUUUGUUUUUUAUUCACUGGAUAGUGUAUGGUCCUGUUUAAAAACUUUUGAGACUCAUAGUUUGCUGAAAACGCUCAUCACAUCCAGGAUAUGUCCACCAAAAAAACCAUGGAGCCAUGCAGCUUUGUAUGCCACAGGGAAAUUCAUGCAAUCUACCCAUUCUUCACCCAAUUCCCUUUCCCUUAUUGUAAACAACUCCUCUGUCACUUUUUCUGUCAAUGAAUUAUUUUUCAAGUUUGGAAAAAUGUCGUCUUACCAUAGCAACACAUGGCCGAUAGGCAUCCUUUAGUUGUACAAUGAUUGAUCAUGAAUGGUGUAUGCAUGCAUAGCCUUUACAGCUCAACCUAUAACUUGUGUCUUUCAGGUGGCACCUUAUAACCCUGCCAUUAGCCCUAGCAGUUCUAUAGGCUUCAGGGGAAGGAUUGGUGAGACAAGCUAUAGCCUCAAGACAUCUACAGAACUGCUAAAGGUAUUGAAUCGAAUUUGGAGCCUUGAAGAGCAGCAUGCUUCCAAUGUGUCACUGGUGCGAGAAUUGAAGAAGGAAUUAGACCAUGCUCGUGCCCGUAUCAAAGAGUUGGUAAGAGAUCAGCAAGCCGAUCGACAGGAGAUAGAUGAAUUGAUGAAACAGAUUGCAGAGGAUAAAUUAGCCAGAAAAAGCAAGGAGCAGGAUCGCAUUAAUUUGGCUAUUCAAUCUGUAAGGGAAGAACUUGAAGAUGAAAGGAAGUUGAGAAAGCGCUCAGAGAGCCUGCACCGGAAAUUAGCCCGGGAGCUUCAUGAGGUGAAAAUGUCAUUUGCAACAGCUUUAAAAGAGCUAGAGAAAGAGAGAAAAUCACGUGUGCUUUUAGAAGACCUUUGUGAUGAGUUUGCUUGGGGAAUAAGAGAUUCUGAACAAGAACUGCGUGCUCUAAGACAGAGGUAUGACAAGGACUGGACUGAAAAAGCUGGUCAUGAUCACUUAGUACUUCAUAUGUCCGAAUCAUGGCUUGAUGAGCGAAUGCAGAUGAAGCUUGAGCACCAGAAUCAUUUAGGAGGUAGGACUGUGGUUGUGGACAAGUUGAACUCUGAAAUAGAGGCCUUUCUUCAAGCUAAAAGAAUUGCCAAGAGUAACAAGAAUAACCAUUUGCCAGCAAGAGAUGUUAAAUUUCGGAAGAGCACUUUGGAAUCAACCCCUCUGAAUGUUGGUGUUAGUGCUGCUCAAGAUGAGGACGAUGCAGAUGAUUCUGCAGGUAGUGGGUCACAUUGCUUUGAGCUACACAAACCAAGUGCUCUUGACAUAAAAUCCCAAGAGAAUGAUGUCGAGGAGGAUCAUAUUGAUGAUAGACUGAAGCAGAAUCAAACAAGGAAACUUCCAUCCAAUGACAAAACAAAAUCACGUAGCCCAGCCAGUUUGCAGGUGAAGUUUGAAGAACAGAUGGCUCGAGCCGUAUUGCAUAGUGAAAGCAAAGACCAUUUUGAAGAUUUGGAUCAGAGAAAUUCCCAGGCAUUGAAUCCAGUUGAAAUUAGCAUUUCAAAGAGGUCUGAAAUAGGUGAAGCAACAGAAGAGGGCAGUUCAGUGAGAAGAAAUAAACCAGAUGGAACCCCUGAACCUAACUCUAACUACAUGAUUGAUAAUUUAAUAAGGAGCCAUUAUUUGUUAUCAGAGAGUGGGAGCACGCAUCCUGAAAAAGAUUAUGGGCUAGCAUCUGGUGGUAGUUCUGUCUGGAGAAGUCGUGCUAGUCCGGUAAGGCAAUGGACCGAGAGACUUCCAUCCAAUGAGCUGGAGAUAUCUGAAUCCUCUUCAAAAUUGCCUCCAGAUUUGAAGGAGAAUACAUUAAAGGCGAAGCUCAUUGAAGCAAGGACAAGGAGCCAAAGGUCCCGCUCGCGUUUAAAGGGCUCCAAAAUCUCCUUCUAGGCUUGAUUUGGUAGCUUGCAAGCCCAUCUACCGGGUGUUUUGUGAAUACGAGUCUUAUUACACUACGGAAUUGUAUGUCAAGGUAUCCAUCUUUGUACGUAGUUUUGGAAGUUAAUCUUGUACAAGUGUUUUUUUUUUUUGGGGUUCUUGACCAGUGAGUUUCAAAGAAGAUUUAGAAUAAUUUGUUGUCCAUGAGUUUAAAGCUUAACGUUGUUCUUUAAGAUCUUUUAACUUUUCGGACCCUAACUUCAACACCGACUUUACCAAAUGCAAUUGGCUUAGUUAGAUCCUGGAUUUUGUAUAGGUAGUCACUUGAUCUUUAAAUUGAAAUGAGAAUACAAACUCUAAAGAGAGAUUUGAUUUUGAUUAAUUUGCUGAUAGUCAGCAAACAGUAUCCAGAAAUAAUCUAUUGAUGUAUCUGGUGUGAUCAUUUAACUGAAACAGGUUUUUUUUUUUGUUUGCCAAGUGAGUUGUGGGUUGGGCGAGGAUGCUGUCUUCCCUAAUACGUGAUUUCUUUCCAAAUGCAGGAAUAUUAGUCAUGGUAGAAUUGCAGAUAAAUUCGUCUUCUCCUUUGUUUGGGAAAGACAAGACUUAAUAAUUUGCAUGCAAGUAAGAGGUAGAACACUCAAAACAGAAGAUGAAAGCAAGAGAUCCACCUCCCUUGCAAAACCACGAGUUAAUGAGCAUCAGCGCUUGGGCAAACUAAUACAACGAGAUUAAGAAGUCACAGACCUUGCUUUUUGCUUGACAACAUGCGAAUCUUCUUCUCUGGGGAUAUGUCCAGCUGCUUUUAUGACAUUGAAAACACAUACGAGGGUUCUCUUUGCUCUGGGUUCCCUUCUGUAAUCGAUAGAGUAUUUUCAUCUAAAUCAAUAAGAACCGUACAGAGGGUGUAAAGUACUGGUCCUGUAAGAAAGGCAAACGGCAUUAGGCACAAAAUACUUAACCGCACAGCAGAGAAGAAUGUUACGGAUUUCCAUAAGCAACCUGUCAUAUAAAUGGGGUAUGUUUUAUCACUUGUGUCUCCGAGGAGCGAAAGGAAAUCAAUUUUUGAACUCUUUGGCAGUAGAGCAGCACUUUUUUGUCUAGUCAGUGAAUUCUCAUCCUGUACCUGAACAGCCGAAAACGCGGAAGUGCUUGUAUGGUUAUACACCUAUAAGAGUUCAUAUAAUGGAUUGAAACUCUUCUAUUCUGAUGUUAGAAUGGCAAGAACAGAUCGAUGAUUGACCUCUUCUAUUCGUUACUUUUUGUAGAAGAGGUUUAAUUGUAUAACAUUGAACUGGUACAAUAUAGUAAUCAGCACAACAGUAAUUAGCUGAUUCUACACAUGAUUUUUGUAUAAAUUUCAUACGUCUCCGAAACAUGUCACCUGCUGAACUUGAAGAUGAAGGUACAUAUUUGCAUGGAAGAAUGGAGUUUCCCCAACCUCAAGUACGGAAACUCGAGUUCUUGAUGCAGUUUCCACGUUCAAAAUUCUCCGCUUCCCUGUGUCAAUCAGAUUGUAACUGUGUCCCACGGAAACUUCUGAUGAACGAAUUCUCUAAAGCCAAAACAAACAUUCAAAUUAGUACCUAUCCUCCCCUCAAUUCAAAGUUAAUUAAACUGUUAAAAGAGAGAUGUAUUACAGUUAAGGCAUCAUCCAUGCUCUCAGCUUCAAGCAAGUCUCUCGAAAUGAAGUUCCGGCCAAUCCCACCAGCCACAAUCUCAGACUGAGUCGGCGGUACAGAGUUCAGCGUAAAUGCCUAGAGAGCACCAUUUCAUGAGUGAUGGCUCCAGAGCAAUUUAUUGACUUGAACUGAAACCAGAAGUAUAGAACUAUAGUACAAUUCGGGCAAAGUAAGUAACCAGAAGUACCAAUCCAAGACUAUUGAAGGCAAAGGCACAGCUUGGAAGCUCUCCUGCAUAUGUAUAAGCAGUGAAACAUAGUCCAUUUGGAAGUAUUCCCUUGAUUAAAUACCUGCAGCGGCAUUUCAUUUCAAGCCUGUAGCUUGCAGUAUAUCACGUGGGUAAAAUAGACAUAAUUAUUGUAUUAACAUUCAGAGAGGCUGCAAAAGAACUUACGUGUGGCCUAGUAAAGCAACAUUUGCAUCCUCAUUAUGAGCUGCAAUAGCCAUGUAAUCACUAACCACAAGUAUAUCGGAGCAAUCAUCAUUGUUAUCGUCCCUCGAACUCAAAUCUGCUUCGGAUUUCGGUAUAAAUGGAAGUAUUUCCUUCCUGAAGUUGAGCAGCAAAAUCUGGGCAAAAGAAAAAAAAAAUACAUACAAUAAUGAUAAAACAAAACAGGAGACUUCAAGUUUUGACCAGUUGAUAAAUGAACAUUCCUAGCGUUUCAUUAAGCUGUUGAGCGUAAACAUUACAUCAAGAAAAGGCACCCCACUUCCUUGAGCAGUUCCCAGAAGUUCAUUCCAGUAAUUGGGGAAUUUUUUCUGGUUAUUUUCAGAUAAAGCAUUGAUGAGCUUGCGGCCUUGGGGAGUUUGAGCAAAUGGCAGCAGCUGGUUUUGAAGGAUAAGGUCUGUGGCAAGCCUACUUCUUAUCUGUCCGGAGAACCUGUGGCCUAUCAAGAACCCCAUGCUGUAGCCAUCUGCAACAGGGCCAACUUCAAAGAUUUCCAGUUGUUUCGCUUCAUUGCCUGGCUUCUCCUCCAUAGUAUCAUCAGAGGCUCUAUUGCUGUGCUUGGCUUUGGGAGUUGCGAUUAGCAGUUGCCGUUGGGCAAAACCAUUCCUGCAAUCUUGCCUCCAUUAAUUACACUUUCCCCACCUGAACUCAAGAUGUAAAUGUGUCGUCUUAACUUUUCAGUGCCUAAAGAUAACAUCAUGAUAUCUUUUCAUGGCAAAAUUAUCCUCACUAAAUUUCUUUACACAACCUGAAAAUUCACCAAAUGUCAUUUUGUGAAUUGUUGCUAAAUGCAGCACAUAUUUGGCCAAAAAAUAAACAGCUCGAAAUUAUUUGAUUCUAGCAAGUAGGAAAAAAAAAUCAUAAACUUCCAAUUUUGUUGAUUAAUAUGUUGUGCGUAAUAUUUUAGCAAAGGAUCCCCAUGGACCCUUUUUGCUGGGCCAAAAGGCCCAGGAUAAAUUGUUUUGUUGGCCCAAUAAUUAUCUAAUCCUGCUGAAGACAAAUUUGUAGUAGUAAUUUUCUGCAAAUUUUCCUGGUUUCUGAGCCGGGGGAAACUGGCACAGCCACAGGUGUCAGUCUGGCUAUAAUUGAUUUAGUUUCCUGCAAAUACUUUCCAUUUUGUCUUCAAUUGCAAUUAAUUUUUUGAAACCAUGUGAUGUGUAGGAAAUAGGAAUGCUAUUCGUAAAAAGGUUUCCAUCCAUCCACUUGAAGGCGGAAUUUACCACUCCAUUAAAAACCACGUCUUUUUGCGACCCAAGAGAGUGGCGUGGUCUUUCUGAGCGGUCGAAAGUUCAACUCAAUGCCUGGGUCGUAAAAAGGUUUCAGUCACAUAAAGGCGUCACCCGACACUCCCAAAAUAAGGCACGCCUUUUGGGUAGCUGAAAAAAGGCCAACAAUUAGGACUUUAACCAUAGGCUUGUUCUCGUUUGAUUAUUUUGAGUGAUUAUAGAUUCUAUUUUUGGAUAAUCAGCUUUUGUGAUGCUAUCGAAAUUUUUUUUUUUUGGUAUUUUGAUAAUAGAUUGUGUAACGACAAAAAAUGUUAAAAUCUAUAGUUAUCCAAAUAGUAGUUUUUACUGAUUAUAAUCAUUCUCCAUAAUCAGGUUUUAUAAUCAAAUUUUGUAAAAUUUAAAACAACCGAGAACAAGAUCCAUCAUAUCAAACAGAUUUAGGGUUGGACUUCUACAAAGUUCAUCUUCCUUCUUGUGCUGUUCUUGGAAUCUUUUUUAUCCCUCCUAUUAUUAUUUUUUUUUACCACACAACUAUCUCAACCGGUGUUCUCUCCAACAACAUUUUGUUGCGAAGCUUGCUAAAACUCGUCAUGAUUUGUUGGGGAGGGUUGAAUUAGAUGGUAACGCGAGAGAAGAAAUGUAAGUAGGAGGUCUUGACUUAAAAAAAAAAGUCAUGAUUAUAAUGAUGAAAGUGUAAGGCUAAAAAUUAACUCAAAACAACAUCAAGGAAUCUUUUCACAAGAGAAUAUCCAACACGUAGCACAGCUUGCUUUCUGUAAAUUAUAUCAUCAAAAUGAAAACAACAAGAAAAUCAGAUGCCUAUUCCAUAAUAAAUUCCUAUUUCAUAUUGUCCCACCCUUGAGCAAGAGCCGGAACGGAUCGGAACAAUCCCUUCUCUCUCUCUCUCUCUCUCUCGUUUAUUGUUGUUCACACAAUUGAAGGAGAAUCAUAAAUGGCAACCAUUGUUCAUUAAUGAAUUUGAAUGGUAGGGACUGAGUGUUGAGUGUGCAGGAAAGCAGGGUGGUGGGCAGCCGCUGCCUGAGCUUGAUCGUGUCUGUGUCCAUAGGGAGUUCUAAUGAUCCUAUUCAUUGGAAAGUCGCCUUAUUUUAUAUCCAACAACAGCUUCUUCUACAACUGUUAUGUAUUUAAUCCGAAGAAAAUCAUGGUGAGACAGGCCCCAGUUACAGUUUGGCGCUUGCAUGAACAACACUGCUACUUUUAACUGGCCGGCAGCUAUCUCGAAUCCUUAUGAAAACGUGUCUCCCGCUGGAAAUUGGAACUUAAAUUGGUGUAGAAACAAAAAAGGGCCACUUCUCAUAAUGUGUUACAUCUGAUGAAGUUACAUCGUAUCUGGCUUUUAAUUCAAGAUUAGGAAAAGUAAUAUAUAUAUUAUCAUAGUAACAAGUAAUAAUCGACAUAAAAAGUGAAAAUACAAAAUGUUUUAGAUUAACAUGAAUGAAUGUCGUCACUAGCUGGCUACAACAUUUGACUUGCGUUUUGUUUAUCAAGCUCAAAUUACUUUAGGAUGUUUUCAACUAACUACUAAAUAUUCCAGGUUUUAAGAUCGAUGAUCGAUGCUGGACAGGCAGAUGUCAUUGAGAUACUCGAUAUAACUUAAUCUUCUUCUCCCAAUGGAUUGGAGCAUCAUCUAGGGCCCGUCCCAAAGCUAAAGGAAUAUGUUUCAAGCUUUAAUUAAUUACUCGGACUUCUGUGCAGGAUUAAGAGCAAAUUUUGAACGUCAAAUCGCACCCAGAGAACAACAAGGCUAAAGAAAUUUCGAGGGAAGAGUAGCAGUGGGGGGAGCACUAGAUUGAAUUUCAGGAUAAUUCAUCGGGUACCCUUCGCAGAUUUGACGCGUGGAAAUUCCUUUCCCAUUGUGCUAUAAUAUACUAUCAUUGAUGACAAAGGAUAAGGGGACUUUGUGUUUGCUAAAGAUGGUGCACUGAUCAAUUAUAGAUAGCACGAGAAAAAAAAACAAACAAAACUGGCAUAUUAUUAAAAAAAACAUAUAAUUUUUCAAUUUCUAAGUGUUGCUUUUUUCCAUGUUUAGUGUGGAGUUGCUAGGCUUGAAGGGAUGUAAAACAAGUCCAAAUGGUGAAAACGUGCGUGGUGGAAGUUGUUUCCUUUUGAGUAGAUUGUGUAGCAGGUCAUUUUCCCAUGAAAAUUCAGAAGACAGCAAUGUGGGAUGAAACAAUUCGCAAAGUAUUGCAUCAUAGCAAGACUAAUGCAAUGGCAUGUCUGUUUCCCUUUGAUCUCUAGUUGCUUUUUAGGGUUCCAUUCAAAUAUUCUCAAGAGUUGCAGUGCAGCCAUGGCAGUAGCAAUGACGCGAGUACCAAAAUAACUCCGGUAUUGGUAAUAUGUUGACCCAAAAUUUACAUUUCCUCCAAUAACAUCGAUGUAGCCCUAUAUAUAUAUAUAUAUAUAUUAUGAAUAGAAUAGAGCUCUUCCCUUAAAAUAUAAUCAUCUGAACCUACAAUUUUACCUUUUUUUCAUGUUAGUACACACACAAAUUGUUAGCUAAGUAUGAAAACAAGCUCCGAUAGAUAAGAAGAGUCCGUUUGGAUUUCUAUUUUCUGAAGUCAUUGUAAAAAAAUAUAUCAUAACGAUUUUUUAACAUACAUGAAGUAAAAUAGUGAUUGAGAAAUGUGCUUAUAGAAAAUGUAAAAUUUUUUUUUUGAAAGAAAUCGCAGUCCAAACAAGGAAUUGGGCCCUAAUUAUAACAUUUCAUCUGUCACCAUCCAUACAAACCAUCUAAAAAAGUACAAACUUCAGGAAUUGGCCCUAGUUAUACAAUGGAUAUUAAAUUAAUACACAAAGUCAAGUACACGAGAGCUGGUCUAAUGUUAUAAAGGAUCAAGAUCUACUGGAAAGCUAUGCAAAUUUAGACCAGUUAACCCCUAGUCAAGACACAGAUUAGUGGUAAAUUAACUGACUGCGCCUUCCACAAUAUCACUAUGUUUAUAGCCUUGAGGCUGGGAGCAUCCUCCUGUUCAGGAGCUCUGGAUGAUUUCUCUUCAUGGGUCCAAGAAAGUACGUCCUUUGAAACAUUCUGCCAAUUUUUGGAUGUAAUGAUUCCCUUGGCUCAUUGGUCGAUCUUCUUGAGAACUUGCAGCUAAAACAAGUUUGUGGAUCAUAAAAAGGAAAAGGAAAAAAAAAUAUCAGAAGACACGAAUAAAUCUUGACAUGCUUACCAAAGAAACCGAUAAGGAUAAAUCGAAGAGAAGUAUACUAGCUGGUAUAAAUUUAGCACUAGCAUAUUUUCAAGGUAUACCCACAGUUGGAACUUUGGAUGGAUGACGAGGAUAUUUUGGUAAUUGCAUCAGCUUCUGAGAGACAUAUCUGGGAACUUGAUGCAAUAAGUGGGCAAUAACCAAGAAACGCAUUGUCGUAGAGCGUUUACAGCAUGACAAGAAAGUCACUUUGACGAAACCCUAAAUCCAUUGUUUCACAUCCAUUGGGGUUAUAGUUGAAUUAACAUUCAACAUAUGCCUAGCAUACAAAUGAAAGAAAAAGACAAUCGACAUGCGAAAAUGGGUUGGUUGAUUAGUGGUGAAGCUCUUCCCUAAACAACUAAAUUCUCCAUAUAAUAAUGUUAGAAAGACAAACAUCAUGGUCACAGAAUCUAGUCAAGAUGUAUAAUCCGUUUCUUUAAACAAACCAAGCCCUCAAGCUCAUGAUGAGUCAAACAUCAUCAUAUGCAGAAUAUAGUACUCUAUUAGUAAUCUACACUUAUCUUCUACUUUUGCCUGCUGUAUGUUGAGGUGCAGAAUAAGCAAAACAUAUCUACCUGCAAGACUAUAGAUGAUGAAGACUGAAAAGGCCGAAUCUCAGGUUAAUAUAGAUGAUAAAAGUAAAGGGAGCUCCCUUCAGUCCAAGUACAGGAAGCUUAAGAAUCAAUUUUUCUCCCGCAUCAUUCACUCAGUUACUGAGUACCAAUCUUACUCAGCAUUUGGAUGAAUGAGUCGGCAGCUAAUUGAAUCCUACUGCCACCCAUGAGUGGACUGAAGAAAGCUCUCUUUUUUAAGGUAUAUCCAAACCUCAAUCCAACCGCAUCAAACUGCAAAAGCAACAAACAAUUAAGCAAACUUGGCAAUAAAACCUGAAAAUGGGAGAGCCAAGCCUGUGACAUAUGCAACUUGUACAUUAUAUGUAGGACUGGAGAUGCCCUAAUUAGCCCAAAGCACGCACAUAAACACACACGUAUAGACAAAGAGAGUGAAAAGGACAGAAUGAUCUCAGCGGUAGGUUCAAAUAUGAACUCCCCACGUAUCAAGCCAUGUGGUAGCUUAUAUGUUCCGGGACGGAGGAAAGGGCUUUAUAUAGCCAAAAGAGAGACGGUCCUAUUAUGGUUAUACAAUAUGUAAUAAUGGAAAGCAAGGCGGGGAGUUACUCAUAUUAUUCUUUUUCUUCUGUUUUUCUCCUUUUGCAAAGAACACUCCCCCUAAUCUCAUUGCCUUACUUUGCAUAUGCUUUAGCUUUGCGGGGAUUUUAAUAUUAGUAGAAGGGAAACAUAUCUGUUUUUAAAAAAAUGAAUUUAGACUGGAAGGCAAUAGUAUGGUAUGAUGGAAUUGGAUCAGCGCAAGUAACUAGGCGCAGUAAGUUGGAUGUACACACGCCACAAGUACUGAGAAUUAUGCGUUGAAUAAAUCUCUGAAUGUGCCUGUUUUCUGUUGUAAUCCAUCUUGUAUGUGUGCGUGUAUGAUGUAAUUUUGUCUUUUAAUGAAAUUAUAAAGUUUUGUUAAAAAAAAAAAAAUCAAACAGUACAUAUGAUAAAGUCCUCAAAAUUGCAUGUGUAUAAACAAUAACAAAAAGAAAAUUUCAGGCACGCAACGGAUCUUCUGUCCCACACUUUAUGCCAUUUUACAUCUCACUUUUUAUUAAAUUGCUAUUUCUCCUACAUAAACAUCAUGUUUUACUUCUUUUUUGUUUCCUUAAUAUUCAAUAACUAUUAAUUGAGUGAAAAAUAAAUACAGCAUCUUCAAAAAAGCAAUAUAUAAUAGAAAAUUCAUAAAAAGUCUCAUUUGUAUGCAUUUUAAUUUUUUGAGUUUGUUAAAUUUUGUGUUUUACUCAAUUAAUAGUUAUUAGAUUUUAAGGAAACCAAAAAAAACUAAAACAUGAUAUUGAUGUAGGAGAAAUAAUAAUAUAAUAAAAAGUGAGACAGAGAGUGACAUAGAGUGUGGGACAAAAAAUCCGUUGCAAGUCACGUGUCUGAAGAAAGAGUAAAUGGUUACUGAAAAUUCAUGUUCAUGCAAACAUAGCAAAAUUAGUAACACUGACAUAUUUGUAAAAGCAAAAUAAAGGCAGACUUUUAUUGCUUGUUUGGAUAGCCAUUUUCCACCGAAAAAUAGGCUUGUUUUCCGUGAACACAUUUCCCUAUCACCUUUUUAUCUCACAUACAUCAAAUCGCUACAGUAAUUUUUCAACGAAAAAUUCAUGGAAAAUACAAUCCAAACACACACAUUAUCUUUUGCAAGGAACUUUCCCCGCUGGGUUAAGAACUUUGCAUUGUGCACUUGCUUCAUUCCAACAGAGAUCAGUAUCUCAAUACUAUUAAAUUGGAUGAUUAAUAAGCCAACUUUGAUCGCUUUCAAGUUUACUAAUGAAGACAAACUUCUAUCUUAUGCAUACACUUUGCAUCGAGGCAUCUCCUUUUAGCUCAUUCUAGUAGAGCACAACACCUGAGUGAAAGAUAAAGCAGACAUCAAGCCAUUGCGCUUGCUAGUUGCUCGAUUCAUUUAAUUGAAAUUCUACCUUUUCACAUUGACUUAUAUUCUGAUCCUUUAAUUAGCAUGGAUUAGGAAAAGAUAGAGAACCCGAAAUGCUCCACUUUUCUGUUUAUUCAACUCUCUAUAUGCCUGCAUGAGCAGGGCUAAAGAAAUCCUAUAGAUUCCUAUGGAAAAAUCCGUAACUGAUGUAGGAUUUGUAGGCAAACGGGCACUCUUUCACACGGUGGUAAAUCCCAAUUUGACAAUAUCAAGCGUAGGCUUUCUGCAAUUACAUCACAUCAUGUGCACACCGAAUGAUCGAGUUCUAAUUAAUAAACUUAAGAACGUGAAAAAGAAAAGAACAGAUUAGUACCACUGAUCACAACUUUAACCUCAAUCUUUUUCAGGAAAAGGGAGAUAUAUUAUACUACAUUGAAAAUCCUUUUCAAUUUAAGAAAUUCACACACACAUAUAUAUAUAUACAUAUAUAUAUAUAUAUAUAUUCUUGUAUGAUGCAUCUAGUGCUAUGAAUCAUCCAUUGGUGUAUUUAGUAUCAUAUUUUUUUUAGCCUGAACUUAGAUACGAUACUCCUACCACAGAAAAGAACGCAAAUUAAAUAAAAGCACUUGAAGUUGACGCACCUUCCGCCGGUAUAUGUAUCUUUUUUCUUUUUCUUAAAAUCCUUUUAAACAUGUAAUCUGAAAAUUUUUUAUUAUCCAAAAGCCAAACCGAAAUAGGAAAAGGGUGUCCAAAGAUUGUUAUAAUUCAACUAUGGAUAAUAUAUAUGUUAUUUUUCCACUCUAUAAGAUGCUGAGGUUUUUUCUGGUGUCGGCCUCUACUGAUCGAAGAGACUCCUCAGCCUAUUGAUAUUGAUGCCACCAACGAAUCAAAGAUUGAAAAAAUAGAUUAAGAGAAUCCAUCAUGAGGACGAGUUGCUGAUCAGAUGGUAGACAGAAGUUUUGCGAGGAUAAUCACCAUAUAUGUUGGCAGAGUUAGAAAACAUCACCAUAUGUAACUGAUAGGAACUAAUACCCACAACCUUUUCCAAUUGCUUUCGAUUUCCUGCAUCUUGGGUGGAUGAUGGACCAAUUAACUUGAUUAUAAAAAAAAUAUAUAUUUCUCCCUGAUAGAGUGAAAUGAUAGGAAAUGGAAGAAAAAAUGGAAGCUGGAAUGAAGAUGAGAAACUCAAAACAACUUUCCCAAGGAUAAUCUGGUAAGCCUCCCUCUUUUGUUACAACUUCCAAACCAGAAUAAAGAAGGAAAAUGAGCUGAAUAUUUCUGGAAACUCGAAAAAUUGUCAAGUUUACUACAAAGAAUAAAGAGAUGAAAGGAGCCAGUUGUAGCGGGAGGGAUCGUAGGAAGAGCCGAUAGGACUGAGGGAUAAUUGCAUAAACCUCCCCUGAGGUUUUUAACACUACUAACACUCACCUCUCUUGUGGUUUAAAAAAUAGGACUAAGCUCUCUUUAGAGGAAAUUGGCGCCUAUUGCUGAUAAAAGAUUGUAGGAAUUUACAUUUAUGUCCUAAUUAUUUGAAGAAACCUAAUGAAUGAACUUUGCAAAAGAAACCUUCUUGUUUCUUGUCAAUAAAUUAAAUGACUAAUUAAACUAAUUAAAUUACCUGUGAGUUCUACUAUGUUUAGACUUUUAACAGGUUUAGGCAAUAUAAGCAUGGCUAACCAAUGGUGCCAACUGUGGAGGAAAAUGGUGCCAUAAAUUGGCGCCAAUUUGUGAACGACAGCUCUUGAGAUGACAGGGGGCGUAGCUGUUGGUUAUGCUCUUGAGAUAACAAGGGCUAAAAGCUGUAGUAUCUUUAGAGUUAUACAUAACAGAAGAAGUAUGUUGGUUUUGCUUAGUUCAUGAGAGCUAAAACAAUUGUGAGAGAAAAAAUAAAAUAGGCAAUUGUAAACAAAUAAAGUGUGUGCAACUUCGUCAUAAAAUUCGCAAGAAUCACACCUGUACAGGUAAAUGACCCUUGCCAUUGUCACUUUAAAACAGAAAAUUUCAUGUUAGCUGUUGUAUGAUAAAAUGCCAAAUCUAACUUCAGUGAAUUUAUGGGUUAUCAAUGAUGGAAUAUGAAUGGAUGAUGCAUCAUCACUUUAAGACUUAUUGAUGAUUAAUGAAAUAUGUUAUUUAGGAUGAUGAUUAAUGGAAUAUGUUAUUUAGGAUAUCGUUUGAUAAAAUUAAAAUUUGAAAUAUGAAGUUUGAAUCCAUUAAAUUAUUAAAUCAUAAAUAUAAUAUAUUUGAGUGUGUAUCACAUUAAGUGAUAAGUGAAUAGUUUAUCAUUUAUUUUUGGGAGCAAGUUUUGCUUACGAAAUUCAAUGUCACUUAAUUAGUUCAGAUGUUCAAUUUUUCAUUGCCAAAUGCAUAUAAAUAUAUUAAAAUCUGAAUCCAUUAAAUUUAAGUGCUGAAUUGAGUUAUCAAACAAGGUCGCUUCCAUCCUCUGAAGAGUUUACACUUACAUCCUCUGAAGUUUAUUAAUUACUAAUUGCUUUGUGUUGUUUUGUCAUUCUUUCAUUAAUACUACUUGGCAUGCAGCACAAAUGAUACAUUUGGUACAAAUUUCUCAUCUCACUCCUUAAAAUAAUAAUAUUUUAAUAGCACUCUUUCUAGCAUUAACCGAAUAUACAACUGAAUAAGUAAGUUUAAGGGAGGUAAGUACUAUGUUUUAAAUCACAGGAGAGAGGUGAGUGCUAAUGUAAGAAACGCCAGGAGAGGUUUCUGCAAUUUUCCCUAACACUAAUGAUGACAAAGAGGAAACAAAAUUGGUAGUGUGUGUGUGAGUAUUGUGGGCAGAGAUCACAUCAGAUAGGCAGCGCCAGCAGUCACUACUGAAUUCCGUCUUGUCAUCCCAAAAGCCCGCCUGCGCUCUGAUGCCUUCAGAUCGACAGAUCUCAUCUCGUCAUCUCACCCGGUCCGUGUCUCCAACUCCAUCCAUCUCAAAUUACAGACGCUAAUUGCUUAGUUUAGAUUGUCAGAGGAUUUGAUCAUUAUCAAGUUUCAGGACAGUCAUAAAAUAAAAGGAAUAAUGAAUUUACACGCAUAAUAUAUUAAUGACAUGUACCAUUAGCAUCUGCCUUAUGUAAACCAAAUUGAUUACAUUCUCAAAGGAUUUAGAAUGCUGAGAUUAUUCAUCCAAUUUGUUCCACAGUAAUUCAGAAAAUUCUAAAGUAGUUGAUGUGUUACACCAGUUCAAUCUGUCUUUGAUGUGAUGUAUACUAAUAAAAAGGAUGUAGUAAAUCCGACUUUAAAUCAAACUCUUUCCAAUCAUUCACAUCAUCUCUGAUCUCAUGAUCCAGCAACGCGGACACCCCAACUGCCCCCUCACCCAAUUUUCUCUACCUCAUGUUUUGCCAAUUCUAACGAUGGUACUUAAUUUGUGGAUCAACCUUUUUAGCCUUCCCAUAAUGUCCUCCUGAGCACCAAUAAGCUCCCCCAUAAAGCGUUUCUUUCUUGUCAUACACAAAGUAUAUGACAAAUUAUGGAGAAUGUUUUGUUUAUCCGAGAAAUAAAAAAUUAUCUUCACCCCAUGGGUACUUGUUGGCCACAACACACGAAGAGAGCUGAGCAUACAUGUUUCCCUUUAGAGUAUGAUCUAGCUGGUUGCAGAUCUUCUUUAACGAAAUAAAUACGCUUUUCAAAAUUAUUAACAAUUGAAAUUUUGGAUUUAGUAAUGUGGAAGUUUGAAUGAAAGAAGAAGCAUUUUAGAGUAUCUUGAAACGGUUUUUCGAUUACAGAAAAAUGGAAAAUCUUGUAUCUAAAUUUAGAAUUGUGAACCAGUACCAAAAGAAAAUUUACAACUUCGCUGCGAUAUUCCACAUAAAUCUAUGCGUACGUAUUUUUAGGACCGACUAGAAAUGCAAAAGGUUUCUUUCUUUGGUGAAAAGAAAUGCGAACGUAGAAAAACAAUUUAAAAUAUACAGUAGUUGUAGUUUGCAGGCGCUCAGGCAGGAAGCAAGCGGAACCCUUUUUAGACGGGCGAGAGAAGAAAGACCAGAGAGUUUCAGAGGGAGACCGCAGUCUGGGGCAGAGAACAAGUCCCGAUGCAUAGACCAGAGACGGAGAAAACAGACGAAGGGGGGACAGGCAGCUGCGCAGUGCCAUGUUCCAUGGACAAAUGGGCUGUCCCAUGAAAUUGCAUGCAGCCCCCUCUUUCCAUAUUAUUUUUUCUCUGUCUUUAUUAUGAAUUAGCAAUCGUGUUUGAAUAGAAAAAUUUUUAAAAAUAUAUUUCGCUUGCAUUAUAAAUAUAUUUUUUAAUUUUUUUAUUAUUUUUUUAUUUUAUAUACAUUACAUUAUAAAAAAUAUACAGUAAUUAUUUUAUAUAAUACUCUAUCCAAACAAAUCCGAAUCGAAAUUCUUUGAGUUACAGAUUACUUGAAAAUUUUUUUAAAGAAUAUUGUAGUAACUUUUGAAAUGUGACAUAUGUAAUGUAAAAUAUAUGAGAGAUUUAGAAACAUGUUUGUAAUACCAAUUUUAAAAAUUAAAAAAAAAACUUUGGGUUGUUAUUUUUCUUGAAAAUUUUUUUAUUUUUUAUUAAUAUAUUUUCUAAUCAUUUUUUUAUUUCACAUAUAUCAAAUUGUUAUAAUAUAUUUUGUACAAAACAUAGCAAUACAAUGGACUCUUGAUGACCUUCGAAGCAAAGCCAAGAACAUUGUCUUCAUUCUUCACCCAGUAACCAAAUUUGAACAUCUUCACUUUUUUAUUCCAAAAGAAAAUACUAGUGCGAAUUUGGAUAGCUAACCACUGAGUUCCGGUUCAAUGGCACCAAAAACGGAUUAAGAUUCUUUGUGCACGAUAGAUCAAGGGGUUCAAACCCACCUAUUUUGAAAAAAAUACAAAAAAAUACCAUAACUCUUUUAAUCUAGUUGAAUCUGUAUGUUUAGGGGUGGCAAUGGGGCGGGGGACACCUCUCCCAACCCCCGCCCAUUGCAUUUUAAUUCCUUCCACCCCGCUUCCCCUGCGGGGGCACCUGUGGGGUUAAAAAAAUUUUAUUAUAUAAUUUCAUUAUAAUUAAAUUUGAGCAAAUAAUCAAGUACUAAAAUAUCAACACAUCAUCAAAUUAUUAUUUAUUGUAACUUCACAAUUGAAACUCAUAAAAAUAAUUAAACAAAGAUUAUUUGAAUACAAUCUAAUAUGAUAAAACAAAUAUAACUAAAAUAAUCAAGUUUUCGCUUUUUGAUACAAAUACAAUCACUAAAUUAUUAUUGUAUUUUUUUUUAGAAAAAAGUGUUAUUGUAUUAAGUGUAGUUAGAAAUUUAACAUAAAUGUAUUAAUAAAUUUACUUUAAAUAAUUAAUAUCAUUAUAUAUAUAAUUAUGUACAUAUAUAUUUCAAACGGGUGGCCCGCCCCGCCCCCCGGCCCAAGGACCCCUCAAGUGCCGCCGACGUUGCCAUCUCUAUGUAUAUUUGCCAGUCUCUUGUUCAUUUUCUUUAAACUUUUCCUCCAUGUAGAAUAUGAUAGAUUAUUGUAGUCUCUUUAACCUUUUAAAAUAGGAUAGAUUAAAUUAUAGGAUAAAAUUACCAUUGAAAAAAAAAAACUAGAUAGUUGGAUAGCUGGGUAACUUUAUUUAUGCAAAAAGUUAUUACAUCCUAAAUAUAUUUUUAAUUAUUUUUAAACUCACAUAUAUAGUAUUACAAAAAGUACUGUAAGUAAAAAUUAAAAUUUUUUUUUUUUGAAGAAUACUACUAUAAGUUUCAAGGUGACCUCUCUGGUUAAAUCUCUCUGUCUCUGAUCUCCUCAGUCAUAAUGCUUUGGCAGAAUUAUUCAUACCUGCCACAUGGUCAUGGUCAUGGUCCUUUAUUUCUUUCCGUUUCAUUAUUAGGCAUUGCCUUAUGCAGCAUGCAGACUUUCAGUCUUUUACUGGUACAGUGCUAACUGGACGCUCAGGAGCUCCAGCUUCACCUGUUUAUUUCUAUUGUCAAUCUUCUGUCCACUGUUUCUAGUUUCAAUCCUAGUUACAGCACAUGAAAAUGGAAGCUUGGUCCCUGCGAAAAGUCCUCCUAGCCUUUAUACUUAUACGCUGUUGCAUCAUCAAGAACUUAUUGUGCUUUCUAGUCAUUUCAACAUUUUUUAAAAUAUUUUUAUCGUUCUGCCACAGAUUUUUUUCCUCCCUUCUUUGUUACUCUAUCUUUACGAGACAAGCUGCCUUUUCUUAUCUUCUCCUUUUUUGAGUUAGAUUAAUCUUGUUGAUUCCAAGUUUUAUUAAAAAUUUUAAAAUAGAUAUAUAUGUAUAUAUAUAUAUUAUAUGAUUUUUUAUUUUCUUUCUGGCAAGGAGAAAAUUUUUUGAGUUGAAUCAAAUCAAAUGCACAGUGGUCUGGUUGCGCAUGAUGGGCUGCCAUCCUUGUCCGAGUAACAUUCUUGGUGAAGGUCCAGCAACUUUUGUCUCUUUCCGCUUAAAAUCAAUUCUGAGGCGAGAAUGAUAGAUCAACCAUUGCAGAAUCGAUAGCAGCGCAAGAAAAUGAGCAGCAAACUCUUGGAAUAUCGUACAAUAAUACAUGUAUAGUCAUCAUCAAGGAAAAAAAUGGAGAAAGCAUCAAGGAAUCAAAUGAAAUAUACCGACAAGUUCAAAUCAAAAUCCGUCCCAAGUACUAACCGCCGAAAUUCAUGCUUUUCUUCCUUUUCUGAGUACAAAAAUUGGAAACUGGGAGGCUCUGAUUAAGACAACUAAACUCGAUGCAUGAACAGAGUUUUAGUUACUCUGAGGUCUGUGCCCUAUAUUCUAAAUUGGGUAUGAGAAGAUAAAUGCACGAUGUUACACCUGAUUAAUUAAAUAAUUUUAUUUGUAGAUAAAGUCUUGAUUCAGUACUUUGUUCCCAAAAAUUUUUUUUAAAAAAAAAAAAAUCAGUGGAUAAAGUCGAGAACAAUUCGGGAAUGAACCCAAGAUUAUAAUCACGGAAACCUAGUACUUAAAAAAAAAAAAAAAAUCAGUGGAUAAAGUCGAGAACAAUUCGGGAAUGAACCCAAGAUUAUAAUCACGGAAACCUAGUACUUAAAAGUAGUAAAACAUUAACUUAUGAGGCUAGUGGACAGGUAACAGUCAGAGCAAAAACCCCACUGAAAUCAGAUCCAACAAGAUUGGAUGGAACAAGGGACGUGAAGCGGGUGGUGGUGGGUACUUGGAUGAAUGAUGACGGAGAAGGCAAGAGGAGUGGCAGCUUUCGCCUAUUGGGCUCUGGAAAGCGGAAAGGAUUUAUUCUGGAGAGGACACCAAAUAAUAGUUUUUAGCUUCUCUUUCCCCGCACGACUUGUACUCAUCUUAGUGCUGCGCCUAAGCCCACGAAAACGGAUUCUCGACCACUGUCGGCAGGAAAUUAUUUGUUUGCAUCAUCACGAUCACUUCUUUCCAAAGCACAUUUUAAUAUUUUUAAUUAUUUUUUAAUUGACAUACGUCGUAUCAUGAAAUGCGUUACAAUAAUUCCAAUACUCUAUUUUUUUUUUUGCAGUACGUGAUGCAAAAAAUAAAAUAAAAUAUUUAUUUUUCAAACUAUUGAGCUUGAACGUUAACCUCGAUCAAGCCACAUCAGUUUGUGGGGGGAUGGAUUGGAUGGUACCGAGGUAAGGAGUGUAAAUGAAAAGUUUCGAAUUCAGGACCUCCUACUUACACUUUAAAAAAAAAAAAAAAGAACCUGCAUCGGUGUGGUCCAAUUUAAAUCACAAAUUAGCCUUUGCAUUUGCAAGUCAUAUAACUAAUUUCCCUAUUGGUUGGUAAAAUGAAGGAUUUGAUAUCCUUUGCAAUUGUUUAAAGUUUUUCGUGGAGGAUGAAGGAGUAAAUGUCAUACGCUUUCGAUGCUUUUUUCAGCGUGAAGUUACCAUAUCAGUUUAGUGAGUGUUAGUAGUUGGCUAUGUGUGGCAGGCUUACCAUCUGUAUGCUUGUUACUUGAACAUUCUUGUAUGCAUUUUCCCUCAUUUGAUCUUAAAUGAUAUUAACCCAAAAAAAAAAAAACAGAGAAAAAAGGUAUAUUGAAAAACGAAGUCACUUUCUUUUUUCUUUUUUUUUUUUAAUCAUUACGGUAGAAUUCCUAUAACCUAAUCUAGCCUAAUCUAAGGGGGAGGGGGAGGGAGACUCGACGUGAAUACAGACUCCAUCAAAAUCGCUUUCAAAAAGAGUAAAACAAAAUUUAACCGAAUAGCUCCUCAGUCAUUUUUGUGACGUGAAUCUUGAACUUUGAUGUGGAAGGCAAAAAAGUACUGCUUGGAAGAUAAUUCAGAAUACGAGUACUUCGAAAGGGCUGCUGCCAACUACCAAGUUUAGUCGUCCGCGAUGAUAUCUGUAAUUAAUUUAACAAGUGAUGUAGAAAUAGGAAGCUUCAUGGCUUUCUUUCUUAAAGAUCCUGAUGUCAUGGAUUGCUAAAUUCCUCAUGUCGGCACCUCAGCAAUAAACAAGGCAGAUUAUUUCAUGGAGGAGUUGCAUUAUGAGAUCCUCUCUCCAUAUCUCCAACAAUUAAGUUGAUCAGAUUCCACUCCAUGUCUCUGGAACCAACAAUGAUGAGUGAAUAGUAAGCAUUGGGGGCAAAAAGCUAGAAACAAGAUCAAAGAUACGAAAUUGUCCCAUAGCAUAGGAGGAGCAACUCAUUUGGCAAUAUUUAAGAAUGUGGAUCGAUGACAAAACUUGUACCUUGAAUGAGGAACUAAUACCACAAUGCUAAUGCCACUCAUUCCUGUCAUUUCUCUCAACUGCUACAUAUUCGUCUUAAGCGUUAGCAGCAGACUCGAAUCAAUACUUCAAUGCCGGGCUCAUUAUUACAAUAAUAUUCCCAAUGGUGUAUUAAAGGCUUUUGCUUUAGUGAUGUGAUUCAUGAGCUUCUUUAUGAAAUUGUGAUGUAGUUGAGGAAAAGAAUAAUUAAGCAAGAAGCCAAGUUCUUCUUUCCUCUUUAUUAUUAUUUUUAAAAAAAAAAAAAAAAGAAGAAUGGUAUAGAUUUGGCAAGAGAUGUUUCCCGCUAAGAUUGGUAUGUCGUUUCUUGUUUCCACAAGAUCAAUCAUAGUUUAGAGGUUAGAAGAGUACGUUGUGUACUUAAUGCAAGCAUAUACAGCACCAAGUGGCGGGCGACAUGAGAGGGCGAAGAACUAAUAGGUGCAACAAAAGGAGUUCCUCUAGGAAAUGGAAACCCUUUUAGACUAGAGAAGGUUUAGCAAGAAAAUGAAAAGCGGUGUUUGAGGGUUUAAGUUUAAUGUAUCUUCACGUUCAAAUUUAUAAAAACGGGGAAAAAAGGAAAGAGAAUUGAAAUAAAAGUUGAGUUGAUACGUUAUACACUGUCAAUUGUAUAUAUUAACAGCCACCUUAAAUGCGUCUGCAAGUAUAAAAGUUUUGUACAUUAUGCAGCAUUCGUCUAACUCGUCUAGUGUACGCAUUGAAAGAUUAAUCAAUAAAAGUUUAGUAAUUUUCUAUAUAAUACUAGUAUUGUCAGCCUACAGAUGUUGAAAAUCAAAAUGAAUUUUGUGAAUUUUCUUUUCUUUUUCCAAGACUAAAAUUAGAGUUGAGGUGGUGGGCUUUUCGCAUUGCCGGCAGGCCCAAGGAAAACCGCCACACCGAGCUGUGUUGAUCUUUAGUUAGUGUCUCUGGGCCCAUAAAAAUGUACCAUAACACAAGCCACUCCAUCGUGGUGAAGAUUAAAUGGAUUCCACAACUAAUUAGAUUAAGACUCCCUUGCAUCAAAAAGAAUUUUGUUUCUAUAUUCAGAUAUUUAUGGAAGCGUUACAUUCAUUCAUUCAUAUGAAUGUAUCCUGAAUGAUGAUGAUGAUGAUGAAGAAGGUACAAAAAGAACGAUUAAUGGGAGGAUAACCUGACAUCAAAAGGCCGAGAGUGAUUAUUGUAGUUGAAUUUGAUCCACCUCAAAAUCCGCAAUCAAAGUCGGUUUCGUGCGAAAAUGACACUCCCAGAAGAGGAUGCAAAUAACUGUUCUAGGAUGGAAGAAGGGGAAAGAUAAAUACAGUACGGCUUAUAUAAGUAUCAAUGCUUCUUUCAGUAGCUUCCAAACUCGACUUGAUUGCUACAACUUUUCUGCCAAAAAUAAUUUUCAGAUGUACCUGAACGAACAAGCCGCGAAAUACCAAGUGAUUUCUGGAGAAAGCAAAACGACCUCAGAAAAGAGAUGAUUUUUGCCUUGAUUAUUUAUUGAAGAAAAUUCUAACAUGCAGCUCGGCUUGAAAGAAUUUAAAGGCAGCUUUAAUUUACAAGGAUUUAUUAAGGGAAAAGGAGUUGCGCUGUGUUCAAAACACAAGAAGAAGGCUUUUAUUUUUAAGGGAGAACAAAAAAGUUAAAGAAGCAACGGCAGCUAACAGCGAAGGAAAAUGUGCAUGAUCAGCAGAAGAGAUGGUAUACAGAGUCAGGACAUGCAACGAGAAAUUAGUUUUAUUCAUUUAUUUAUCCCUCAACAUAAUACUAAGUCUCAGUUCUUGUUAUUUUUUUUAAAAAAAAAUUAUUGAAAUAUGUAAUAUUGUAAUUUGAUGUAUGUAAAUGUUUAAAAAAACAUAAGAGUUUGUUUUGGUAGAAAAAUUCGAGUUUCCAAUUCACAUAUGAUGAGCUUUUUCCUCGAAUGCGUCUAACUUGUUUUAUAUUCAUCACUAAAUUCGCACUCUUCCUUUUUAAAUUUAAAACUCCGAAGCAUUGCGAACUUGACGUAUCAAAUUUGCAAUUUUGAGGCAUUGAGGUUUAAUAUUACUAGUAUUGAAACUCAUGCAAAGUAUGACCUUAUUAUAACAGAGAAGUAUGAAGAAUUCAAACUUCCUCCUCUUAUCUUUUAAAUCUCGAAACUAUUAUUGUUGUCCUUUUUUGACCCCUGAUUUAUAUAUAUAUAUAUAUAUAUAUAUAUAUAUAUAUAUAUAUUUAUCUUUGAUUGGCUCUGAAUAAUUAAAAUGCAUAAUUUAAGGACUUCUAACCAUUUUAAACAUAAGUUCAACCGGAAUCGAAUGGCUUUUUUCUUCAAUCUUAAUCAAAAGCAUUGGGAACUCAAUAAAAAACAUCGAGAGUAGGAGUAGAAGUUUGAAAAGAGAAAACUUUUCAUUUUUCUUGAAUUCUCCAUCAGAUUUUUCUACAAAAUUCAUAAACUCAUUGAUUUCAUACCUAAUUGGCCAAAGUUUCAUCAGAUUUUUCAUGUCCCUCUCAAGUAUGAAAUCAAUGAAUUUGAAAGUUUUAUACAGAAAUUUGAUGAAGAGUUUCAAGGAAAAUGAAGGGUUUCUCGUCUCAAAACUUCUACUCCUGUCCUCGAUGCUCCUAAUUAUUAUUGGACAAAAAUGCCCUCCAGUUAUGGUUUGACGUAGUCUAAAAUGGUCAGAGCUCUUAGACUAAGCACUUUUAAUUAUUUAGGAGCUAGUUCAAGAAAAAAAUAGAUUAGAGGCCAAAAGUGAAUAACGAUGAUAGUUUAAAAACUCAACACGUUCUUUACUUUUAUCUUUUGAAAUUGAUAUCAAUAAUAAAUCCAAAAUUCCUGAAUUUGGAGGAGAAAUUUGCAGUAGAUGAAGAAAAAAAGAUUAGAUUAUAUCAAAUUCAGGAGAGCAAAAAGUUGCCCUCAUAUUUUCUACGUCCGUUUUAAAAAAGUUAACAACCUUUUUUUUUGGGAAACAUAAAUUAACAACUUCAAUGAAAAUACCCAAAAUUCUCUGGACUCUAGAUGACACCUCAUCCAACCUCGAACGACAAACAAAUGACAGAUGAAAGGAAGAAAACAUUUUAAAAACCCCAAACCCAACCCAAACUCAUAAAAACCUAAACUCAUAAAAAUCAAAACGUUUCACGAUCCCAGACACAGCAACAACACAAGUUCCGCGUUUCACCGUCAAAAGAGAAAGGAACGUUUUCCUCUGCAACUUCUCCCCUUACCCCUCUACCCCUUCUCCUCCUGCUAAUUAAGAUACACUCUAUAAAUCUCAGCGGCCCAUUUGCGUAUUUGAUAGUACUAAUUGUGUCGUUGCCCACCACUUCUGUUUUCUUGCGGGUAUUUAUUUCUGUGAAUGAAAGGUUUGAACGUGGAUCUAUUUGACCCACGUUCGACGAUGGACGCUGAUUUUUCACCUGGUGGCGGUGCCGAGCGGCCAAUUGAGCCUCGUCAUGGCUCGGGUUCCGACUCGGAUUUCGCCUUCGCAUUUAACGACAGCAAUUUCUCCGACCGGGUCUUGCGAGUUGAGAUUCUACCGGAUUUGCCCGACUCCAAAUCCGACCCCGAUGGAUGCACCACCAUUGCUGAUUGGGCUCGCAACCGGAAACGCCGCCGUGAGGAAAUCAGAAAAGAAAAUGGUAACUAUGAUUGUGUGCAUGUGGUUAGAUAUACAAAGUUUUAAUUGUUUUUGAAUUUUUGAAAUGGGUUUACUUAUUUUGAGUUUUAGUUUUUGCAAGUUCUGACUUUGAUGAAAAUAUUGGGUGUUGAAUUUUGUGAAAUUGUGGUUGUUUUUCCAAGAUUGGAUUCCUUUUUUUUUUGAGGAGUAUGAUAUCGUGUUCUUAAAUAUAAUUUGGGUAAUUUGCAGUUGUUUGAGGAAUGGUGAAUAUGGAUGAACUGGUGGAAAAUUUCUUUACAUGCAUCAAGUUUGGUUUUUGUUUGGGACUUGAUUAGCAUUGCCUUUAUAAUUAGGGUUAGUUGGGUAUGUAGCUGGUCGUGGAACCAGGUCAUGAUAUCAUGUUGCUUGGCGAAGGUUGUUAUGACUUCUUAGUGGAAUUUGAGUUAAAAGGCUUGGUAAUAUGGGGUGAAUGAAAGAAGAAACGAAAGCUUCCUGGUUUGAGUGGAAGCUUAGGUGAUAUAGUGGCCGUGCUAUGCUUUGAGACUGUGCUGAUUUAUCAGAGCAACAAUGAAGGGAAAUAACACAAUUUUAGGGUUUCCUCCUUAUCACAUGGCAUUGAAGAGCAGAAUCUGGGUUGGAGCUGCAUAGUUUGUUGUGAUUGGUCUUGAUGUUUCUCUCCGUCUUUCAUUGACAAAAUUGAAAUUUUCUGUUAUUGGGUGGUGCAGUAGAUUCAUUUGACAGAAGAAAGAGGUUGAGAGGUGAGGAGAGGGUGGGAUGGAAAUUGUUGAAAAUGAGAAGAAAUUGUAGGUUUAUCGGUUAUUUAAUGCGCUGGAAUUGUUUGUUGGUGCUUAAUCGGAUGUAUCGGCAGAAUUUCUGUCUUCACAUGUCAGCAAGUUUUCCAGUUAAUGGAUCUCGAUGAUGAUUGGGGCUACAAUCUGUAGCCUACCACCUACAUACAUUGUGUUUGGAAAGGAUUAAUGAAUGCUUUAUUAAUUGGAGAACAUUCGCAAUAUUGUGCAUGCAUUCAAAACGGAUUUGUUGUGGCAUUUAAGACAUUAAUUUCUGUGACUUUUGUUCCAUGUACUUCGCAGACUUUUAUUUUUAUCUUUUUACUUCUGAAGAGUUCAGUCUGUGUUGGGCUGGCAAUUUAAAUUACAUGCUCCAAAUAAGCAUCUUGGUAGAUCAUUGCAUGUAGUUUGACAUGUAGAGCUACAUGGAAAACCCCUACUUUAUUCUACGGUUGUCUCGCAAUAUAAUACACUAUCUGCAGCAUAUAACUCUACGUAUUCUCUGCCCAGUGUCCAAAGUUUUGAGCAUCUUGAUUUUCCAGUAUGGGCAAUUCCGUAACAUCUUCCUUGCAUUUGCAUUAGUCUUUUGCCAGUUCAUUUUUCCCACCUAAAUAUAUUGCCCUUCUGCUUGUGGCAUGUAAGUGUGUGCAUACAUGCCACAUGGAUGCAUAUGCAGUUUACAUCCUGGAGUUUUUCUGGGUUUCUACUAUGUAAUUUUGAAAUGUCACAAAACUAAACUAUUGAACUUGACAGAUCAUUCAUAUGCAUAUGGAUUCUCACUGCUCUGGAUUUGGACUUUUUAACAUGUGCUUCGAAUGUAUCAUUUUGCAACUUUACACACCUUUAUUUUUGUUUGCCAUUCUCCUUCAAAUAGAGAUGUAUCAUGUUUACCCAGACUUGAAAACUGUUUCCAGCCUAAUUACUCUGCCUUCCAGGAUUAUGCUUGAAAAAUAAGUUGUAACAUAAGCUUCUCCAUGAAAAAUAAAUUAUUAGUAUAGAUUAGAUUUCUCAACUGGUGUCGAAAAUUUUUGGACUGGUAUUUGCCUUCUCUUCACUCUUUUGCAUUUUGUCUUGUGCAUCACCAACUUUUCCAUUUUGUGCCUAUUCUACUUUCAUAUUAUUCUCUGUGAUGUCUUUGAACUUGUCUGAGGUGUGCCACCCUCUAGUAAAGUUUCCCUCCAUUUGACCUUUUUGCUUGUCUUCCCACUCUGGGAUGUUCCAUUUUCUAUUCUUGUGUUGUUAGUGAUGGAUCAGAAACAUGUGCUACAUUAGGUUUUUCUAUUUGGAGUAAAAACAUUUUAUGAAGAAAAUGGGUUCUUGUUGAGGGGCUAGGGAAGUGGUGGCUACUCUAAAACAUAUGUGGAUGCAUUGAUUGAUGCUUUCUAGAAAAACUGAAAAGAUUUGGCAUGGUAAUUUCGUUAUGUGUCUGAAACCGGUGGGUUAACUUUCUUUUUUUGCAGCUUUAUUUUUUUAAAUUUGGUCUUUACUGUGGAUGUUUAUGUUUUGGAUGCAUGUUAUUCUUAUCAAUAGCCGCAGAGAUUAUGCAACGAAGGAGCAGGUUUUGAGUUGCAAUAUGCCAGAUACGGAUGAUAUUCUUGCAUACGAAAACCAAGAUGAGGAAGCCAUAGCUAUGGUUGAGGAAUCCACUGGUAUUGGAAUGUCAUCUAUUCAACUUGGUACUCUCAUCACAUUAUUUAUGUAGAUUUUUUUUUUUUUAAGUUUUGGUUUUUCUGGUCUUAUAGAUACCUGAAUUCUCAAGAUCUGACAAGUCAACAAGGUGUUGUAGUUAUACAUGUAGUAUUUCAGUUUUACUUGUAAAUUUCUUUUUUAUGUGAUAUUAUUGUAAUGCCACGAAAUAUAGACAGCUAAAAUUAUUUUGUUGUCCUGAUUGAAUCUGUCUAGUAAGAGCAUAGUUAUGUUCUUGUUUGGUUAUAUGGAUGGCUGCCGAUGAGUCACAUGUUACUAACUAAAUUACUCUUGUAGGUGAUGGAUCCACUGAGAACAAUGACUCAUCCACAAAUAUGGACUGCUCUACUGUCCUUCACGUUAGGACCAUACACAUCAGUUCUCCAAUUUUGGCAGCUAAGAGUCCUUUUUUCUAUAAGGUCAGGACUUGUUAUGUUUGUGCAUUAGCUUUCUAUAUUGUGUCUCUUUUCUCUUUCUUUUUAAUUUGCACUGAGUUCCUUAUAUUGCAUGUCUUGUAGUUAUUCUCAAAUGGUAUGAGGGAGUCAGAGCAACGACAAGUAACUCUUCGCAUUCAUGCCUCUGGUAAUUAAAGAAACAUUCGGAUGUUAGUUACCUUUAGUGCCAGUGUGCUGCUUUAAGCUAGAAAAUUAGCAUGAUGUGUUUUCAUCGAACCAGGAAAAGAAAAGCUUGACUUACACAAUCUUUAUGGUUAACAGCCUGUGUCUGUUGACUGGUCAUUUAAACACUUUGCAGUAGACAUUCUUUUCCAUUCAAAUGAAAUGCACACUAUGAACUUAAAUUUGUUUAACCCUCCUACUUUUGUGAGCAGAAGAAGCUGCCCUCAUGGACCUCCUCAAUUUUAUGUAUAGCAAUAGUUUAUCAACAACAAUGCCCUCUGCUUUAUUAGAUGUGCUAAUGGCUGCUGACAAGUAUGAGGUUGCCUCGUGCAUGAGAUACUGUAGUCGGUUAUUGCGUAACUUGCCCAUGACUUGUGAGUCAGCCCUACUUUAUUUGGAUCUUCCUUCAAGUGUUUUAAUGGGCGAUGCAGUUCAGCCGCUGACAGAUGCUGCAAAACAGUUCCUUGCUGCACGUUACAAGGACAUUACCAAGUAAUAUAUUCUUUGAAAAUCAUGACUUUUUCAUUGGUUUUUCAAUGUGUCUUGUUGUAUUAAUUAUCAAUAGUUGGUGAACUUAUGGAAGGAUUCAUGAUAGGAGAAGCAAAUAUAAACUGUACUAAAGUCCUUAUGAGCUUAAGCUUUUACUUUCUUGUGGGCCGUCUUUUCUGAGUUAAAAUCUUGAUGCCUUUCUUAAAGAUAUGCCAAUGUGCAUGGCUAAUAUGGUUUGCCCCACAUUGCUUAUUAGGUUCCAGGAUGACGUACUGAAUUUACCUCUAGCUGGAGUUGAGGCAGUUUUAUCUAGUGAUGAUCUUCAGGUUGCUUCAGAGGAUGCUGUUUAUGAUUUUGUCCUCAAGUGGGCCCGUAUCCAUUAUCCCAAGUUGGAAGAGAGACGAGAUAUACUAGGCGCACGCCUUGCUCGGUUAAUCCGUUUUCCAUACAUGACCUGCAGAAAGCUGAAAAAAGUCCUCACAUGCAAUGAUUUUGAUCGUGAACUUGCUUCAAAUGUUGUACUUGAUGCUCUUUUUUUCAAGGCUGAAGCACCAUACCGGCAGCGCUCCCUUGUGGCAGAAGAGUCUAAUGCCUCUUACCGACGUUUUGUGGAGAGAGCAUACAAGUACCGACCGGUUAAGGUGGUGGAGUUUGAAUUACCUCGUCAGCAAUGCAUUGUUUACCUCGAUCUGAAGCGGGAGGAGUGUGCAAAUCUCUUUCCUGCUGGUCGAAUUUAUUCCCAGGCUUUCCAUUUGGGCGGGCAGGGGUUUUUCUUAUCUGCCCAUUGCAACAUGGACCAGCAGAGUUCCUUCCAUUGCUUUGGACUGUUCUUGGGUAUGCAGGAGAAGGGUUCAGUAUCUUUUGCAGUUGAUUAUGAGUUCGCAUCAAGGUCAAAGCCUACCGAGGAGUAUACCAGCAAGUAUAAAGGAAACUACACUUUUACUGGAGGGAAGGCUGUUGGUUACAGGAACCUGUUUGGCGUUCCUUGGACGGCAUUUGUGGCCGAUGAUAGUCCAUAUUUCAUCAAUGGAAUUCUUCACCUCAGGGCUGAGCUCACAAUCAAGCAGUGACUUCUGAGUGAUAUGCUUGCGAAGAGCCUUGUUUAAUACACAUAAUAGUAGCAUUACUAAUCUCUAGAUGGCAGUUAGAGCAGAAUACAAUUAAUCUGUGCAGGCUUAAUACUACAUACAUGUGAGUGGAGGCAAGUCUCUCCGUGAUAACUGAGGUUGUUGAAUGAUGAGUUCUUCUGGACGAUUGGGGUUGUUAAGUGCGUGCCAGAUGUUACCUAUGUAAUUAAAUUUCCGAAUCUUUGUAAUGGUUCUUGUACCCCCACCCAAAAAAAAAAGAAAAACCGAAUGGUUCUUCGCUUAGCGUCAAUGUUGAUCUUGUUAGGGUAAAUUAAAUGCUUUUGAUUUUAGGUGAACCUGAAUUCGAUCUGGGCUCUUGGGUAAGAGUAUUAAUAAUCUAGGGUGAGAGGCUUUUACAUGUCGUUUAGGGCUCCUAUAUUUUUGUUUGUGCCGCUGUGCAUGAUAUGACAUAUUAGAUAAGAAAAGGGCGACUUUUUGAAACCCUCGCCUCUCAUUACCCCCUAUCCACUGGAGUGCAAGUAAACAGAAAAGAUCACGGAGUAGUAAAGAGGUGACGUAUUUUUUGUACCGAGUUCGAACCCUGUGGAGCAGGAGUAGCUUUGGUCUUGGCAAGGAAAAGGAGAACUUGUGUGUAUAAUCAAUUUAUAUGUCAAAUGUUAUGUUAAUGUGUCCGAUUUUGCUUGACAUUGAUGAUUGGAUCAGGAGAUGCUGCGUUGAAAAUCAUUCCUGACAAGCAUGAUCAUUAUUGCCGGCAAAAGUUUUAUUCCACCAUUCAGUGCUGAUUUUCCUCUUUCAAGAAUCUAGACACAACGAAGAAAAACAAAGCAAAGCUGUUCCAGCAUGCGUGAAGCCCCGCAUUCUAUGGAGCAAAAUGAUAACUACUCUACCAGCAGCAAUAUGAUUGCACGACCGGAUGGAGGAAAAUCAAUACAAUUUGGCCUCGCAUCAAGUUAAUUUUUCUCCUUGAAGGGGACCCAGAAUAGGCAUGACUUUGCACAAAGUCAAAACCAAUCAAAUCUAGUAGGAGGCAGAAAGACCAUAAAUAGCCUCAGUAAACCUUAACGGUUCUCUCUUCUAUGCCAGCUCAUCGACUUAAACCAUAGCCUACUACUUUGGGAGUUGAGAGAGAGAACGGAAAGAAGGGACAGAUAACUCACUCAAUCCGUUUCCUCCAAGCCCUUGGGGGAGAUGUUUUUCUUGAUUUUUUUGGGUCACAAACAAGGGAAAAAAAAGGUACUACUUUUUCCUGAAGCCGUCCAUCCAAACAUAGGCUAAAUCCUGUACCACAAUGCCAAAAAAAAAUCGAAAAAGUUCACCAACGCUGGCAAGUAGAGGAAAGAAAAAACUGGAUAAUCAUUCCUAAAAUGCAGAAUCUAUAAGUGCACUGAAGCUUAAGAGAUCAUAUUGCCAACUCCUCCAAGUCCUGCAAUGAUAGGCAGCACUUUCAGACUCUACUAGAUGGGACUGACCGGCAGGAGUUAUUAUCUCAUCUGGUUGUUUCUACACCUCUACUUCUCUCGGUAUACAGCUUCAAUGAGAGUCUAGGUGAAUCUUUGGAUGCUAUACUUCAUGACCAUGCUUUUAGUACUUUGUUUCAUGGGAGAUCUCGCACCGGUGCACUAUACAAUGCCAGUCUUCCACCCAAUCUAGCAGGGAUGAAGGUUUCUGUAGUCCGUCUUAGAAGCCGAACAUUGUGGAGAUUGGGUGCUAAUUUCAGCAAUUUCUCCAUCCCGUCAAGAACUCUGCCAGUGCCCUAUGUGAGGAGACUGCUAAUUGUCUAUCAUGAUCUAGGCAAUCUGUCGACUUACUACUAUAAUACAUCAGGUUACACCCUGCUAACUUCGGUCGUUGGUUUUUUGGUUUAUGAUGCCUCAAAUUUGAGCAGCACAAGCCUCAGGAAGCUCGAUCUUAACCCCAUGGGGAAGCCUAUUUUAAUUCAAUUUCAGGAUCCGGAUCACCUGGUGGCACUAAUCCAAGGGCUGAGUGUGCUACCUUUGGUGCCGGUGGGAAUUAUUCCUCAGCAAAAUGAGCUCGCCGAAUCUAUGCCAGAGUAGAAGUCAAGGACAUUUCUCGCUAGUUACUAGAUUCAAGAAGCGGCCACAGGUAUGGAAAUUUUGGGUGAUAGGAUUUGUGCUUGGAUUUGUGUUCCUGGUCUCGGUGGGAUUCAUCCUGGGAUUAGUUUUAAUAGUUUUAACUGUAAGAGGACUCGAGAAAUGGAAAGAGAAGCAGAUGAAGGUGAGUUCUUACAGACGUUUUGGGUUGACAGCAGCAAAAUGCCUCGCGCAUCAAUAACCAGAACUCAUCCCGUCCUUGAAAACUCAGGUCGUCCGUAGCCUUACUGUCUUCUUCCUCAAUUGUUCAAAGCAUUCUUACUUUCUAUGACUGUAUAUGCUUGGGUCGUGAAUCAUCCGUCAUUCUUCUCACUUUCUGUCAAGGCUGAUCCGUGUGCGCGCCGUGUGUGUGUGUAAUAUAUAUAUAUAUAUAUGCAAACCACUUUCAAUUUUGGUAGAUAAAAAUUUAAUCGAUAGAAGGCGGCUGUGAGGUUCUGGAUACAAGAGCCUGGGAACGGAAAAAUUGAAGAAAACAGAAACUUAACCGAGGGACGUCCUUACAAGCAGCAAAUGAUCAAAUAACUCAGUCGCCCUAAAGCUCACGUUUAUUAUGCCAUAAUCUUUGUCCCCUUGGAAUGAAGGAUUGAGUUUGUCGUAACAAGCUAUCGUCAGACACUGUCCAUUUCUCACCUUUAAUUCAAUAUUGACUAUCCCACGGAAAUUGGUUAGACGAUGUCAUGAGCUAUCGAAAACCAAAAGAAAGGGGGCAAGGGAAGCUCCAAUUCAGAUGCCAUUCAGCAGUCAUCAGUACAAUGAGAAAGCACUUCAUGCAUCAACAAUUACAACUAAAAUGAUCCUGCAGGAAAAAAAAAGCUUUGACCACUAUUUCCUUGCUUUUUCAAAUAAGUUUCUCAGUCCAGUUCUUGGCUUUCAAAAAAGAGGGGGCGGCCAGAGAAGAUGCUAAGAGCCUUCAGCAUUUCAUAGGGGUCUACUCUCUCCUAAAGGUUAGAAAGGUAGAUUUGCUUCCAUGUUUUGUCUUAAUUAUCCUCUUAUACUAGAGUGAGAUCAGAAAAAGGGGAGCUACUAUUAAUGCAUCCGAAUGUUCCAUUGAACAAAAUGCCUCUGAAUAUAGCAGGGAACACACACACACACUCUCUCUCUCUCUCUCUCUCAUAUAUGAUACACACAAACCCUGCCCACACAAACACAAACAUGCACACAAAAGCAGGAUGUAGGUAGCACCUACAUGGGCCAUCUUCGCCUAAUUUUACAGGAAAUCUUGUUCAACAAGGUUUAUCAACAUCUGAAAUCAUAAACUUGGGAUGAUCCUAAUAAACUAGCUUAGGCAUCCCACACACUAGAAUAUACAGCAGUAGGCAAACCUUAUUAGAAAAUAUCAGAACCACUCAUGUUUGGCCAAACAAUGAAAGGAUAAAGCUUAUUUUAAAACAAAAUGCAAAGUCAAGUUUGAUAUGUUUAUUGAACAUACACAUCAGACUGUUAAUACCUACCUAACAUUGACAAAUGCAGUCCAAUGUAUAGACAAUAUGACUCCAAUGCAUAGACAAUAUGACUACCAACAAAAACACGUCUCAUUUAUGAGUGGAAUAUCCCAGACAAGUUUAAGCUGCAUCUGGAGCGUUCAUAUGUUUGGAAUACAGACUCCACCAAAUGCCAACUAAAAUGCUGCGCUCUUUUUGUACUUUUAAGGGGAACUGCAGUAUUGAUGAUCCUAAAAUGUGAUAUAACAGCUAAUUAAUAGAAAAGUUCUUCUGUAAUUGCGUUCAGUUUUCAAACCAAUAAAGACACGUAGCUAAAGGAAUGAAAUUUACCUAAUCUUCAGCCACAAGGCAAAGAUCCAAACAAAUUAGACCUGGACAAGAUAUUAAGGAAUGAACUAACUUGAUCUUUAGCCAAAAAGCCAAGAAGGGAUUACCGUUACAUUUCCAACCAAAGUUAACACCAGCAGUUUCACUACUUUCUACAAGUAUAAGCCUACUUGCACUACUACAUGACGAAAAGGAAAGCAAGCCAGCAGAAGCCAAGUAUUACCACUGUAAGGCGCAAAAGAAAGUCUUAUCCUUUCAACUGCAAGCUAAUUAUACUACUGCUACUGGUAUCAUGAAUUCCAUCAUUGAUAAGGUGCAGAAUGUUGUCAAAACUUGGGAAAGAUUCACGAUCCAAGCAGAAUUGUGAAUUGGCACUAGAAUGAGGACUCUCAGUAGAUCAGUUUUGCUAGAUUUUUUGUAGUUUGUGUAGAGUUAGUUGUUCUUUCUAUGUAGUUACGGAUUCCCCCGUGUAAUUGUCAUUGCUUAUCAUCAAUAAAAAUCUUUUUGCUCAAAAAAAACUUCAAAUGUCACUAAGCAAUAUACGAACUUCAAUACUUAAGAGGCAACGACCUAUUAUUAACUGCAAAAAAAAGUAACGCAAAGGCUCAACUUCAAACACUUCCUGCCUAAGCAAGUAUAUCCUCAUUGAGAGAUACAACUCAAUUCAAAUAGAUGCCCAAAAAAACCCAACUUAUAACAAUUGCAAUAAGCUAAGUGUACCAAAAUGCAACCUCAGCUUCAAAUCAUGCCUAGCAUUACACUGUUGCCCCUCGAGCAAGCUUUGACCACUCAGUAUGAUAUGAUCCAGGACGAUCAAUCCUCUCGUACGUAUGCGCCCCGAAAUAAUCCCUCUGAGCCUGAACAAGGUUUGCAGGUAGCCUUGCACGCCUAUAAGUAUCAAAAUACUGCAAACUAGCGGACAUUCCAGGAACACUAAUCCCCUUUGAAUAGCAAGCCCACCACUCUCCUCCAAGCUGCCUGCCUCUGCACCAUCUCCCUAGCAAACUCAGGGUCGACCAACAAAUUUGCCAAGGCCGGAUUCCUCUGAUAGGCCUUCUUAAUCCUAUCCAAGAACACAGCCCUUAUUAUACACCCUCCUUUCCAAAUCCUCGCCAACUCGCCCAAAUUCAAAUUCCACCCUUUCUCCACACUCUUGGCCCAACAAGUUCAUCCCUUGUGCAUAACUACAAAUCUUGGAUGCAUACAACGCCUGCCUUACAUCAUCAAUCAGCCUCUUCUUAUCCACAACUCCUACAUUAUUAAUCUCCUCCUUGAACCCUUGCCCCUUAAAAAUCUCCGCAGCAGCCUCCCUUUCAUCUUUCAACCCACUCAAAUAUCUACUAUCAAGUGAAGCUGCAAUGGUAGGAGCAGCAAUCGACAGCUCGGCCGCCUGCUGAACCGUCCAUUUUCCGGUUCCUUUCAUCCCAGUUUUAUCCAAAAUCUUAUCCACCAACUCCCCAUGUCCGCUCUCAAAAUCCUUCACCUGAAAAAUAUCAGCAGUUAUCUCAAUUAAGAAGCUCUCCAGCUCACCCCUAUUCCAGUCGGCAAAAAUAUCAGCCAACUCGGAAUUACUGAGCCCACCAGCAUUUUUCAAUACAUCGUAAGCUUCAGAAAUCAGCUGCAUAUCACCAUAUUCAAUCCCAUUAUGGAUCAUCUUCACGAAAUUCCCCGAACCCCCUUCCCCAAUAUAAGUAACACAAGGGCCAUCUUCCACCUGGGCCGCAACCUUUCCAAGAAUAUCCUUAAUAUUCAGGUAGGCUCGGUGGGACCCACCCGGCAUGAGCGAAGGACCGUGUCGGGCACCAUCUUCCCCGCCGGAGACGCCCAUGCCGAGAUAAAGAAGCCCUUUUGAAGAAGCAUCAGAAAUCCUCCGCUCAGUAUUCUCGUACCACUCGUUGCCGCCGUCAAUAAUGGUGUCGCCGGGCUCCAUGUACUGGGACAAAGCGGCGAUGGUCUGGUCAACGGGGGCGCCGGCUUUGACUAAGAUGAUGACAGAUCUAGGUCUCUGAAUGGAGAGUACAAAAUCUUUGGGAUUGUACUGGCCGAAGAGAGGAAGGUGGCCUUCUCGAUCGCUCGAUCUACUGUCUCGUCGACCUUGGAAGUGGUUCGAUUGUAGACGGAGAUUGGGAAGCCUUUUUCGGCAAUGUUUAGAGCUAAGUUCUGACCCAUAACGGCUAGCCCAGCUAGGCCUAUACGCGAGAGGGCAUCAGCCGUUGCCAUGAUUGAAACUUGAAACCAGAUAAAUUUGGUGGGGAGUUUGUGCUAAAGAGUACGAGAGUUGGGAAAUGCAGUGGUAAUAUAGAUUGGCCGAAGGACGAAGAGCGAAUGGGUUAGGUGGGUGGAAUAAUAUAUAUAUUAUAGUAGUAUGGGGAGAAAUGGGGGUCGUGGGUCGCGAGGGGGGCUGCUCCUGCUACUGCUACAGCUGGGUGGUUGGUGGAUUGGACGGACUCGUCGAGGAAGCGAAGAGGUAGCGACUGGAACAACCAACGAAUGGGCGUCCAGUUAGACGAUGAUUACUAGGCUCGUAAACGGCGUCGUUUUGGUUUUGGUAUCAGACGGCUAUACAUAAAUAUUUAGCUGCCAAAGUGGAAAAUAGCUGGUGGUAAAAAGGUUUAUAUAUAUAUAUAUAUUAUAUACCCAGAUAAAGCAGGGCUGGCCCGGACCACGGGCACCGUUUCUAGCAUUUUUGUAUAUUUUACACAUCGCAUGACUUCAUUUGCAUACGACGUAAUUUUAUUUGCACAACAUGUAAUUUUAGAAUAAAUUUUUAUGAGAACCACACACGUUACUAAAAAUGAGAUAUAAAAAAUAAUCUGAAUCGUAUAAUUUUUUUAAAUCAAAUUCUGACCGUUAAUUGUUCAAGAAUGAUCCUUACGAUGACAGUCCUUAUCCGGUCUCCGGCCCAAGCAUGGCUUUCCGUGUCAAGUCUGCAAACCGUUAUACAUGCACGGUGGGAGAAACACACUAGUACUUUUCCACGUUUUCGUUCUCAAUGUUUAGUGCUUUUUAGUCUUUCGGAAAAAUACAACUGUUGGCUCGACCAAUCGUUUUCAAGAAAAAGUGAUAAGUAAUUAUCACUUUAAAAGAAAAAAAGAAAAAGUGAUAAGUAUCAUCGAGUUUAUGCGAACCGCCGACCGACCAUUACUCAUCAGUUUCUUCCAAUGGUUUAGCGUGCUCAGAGCGUAACCAGUAUUCUUUCACAAGCUGACCAAAAAGCGAAUUUUCUUCGGUUAUCAGCUUCAUGGGCUCAUCAUACUCCACCACAUUUCCUGAAAGUUGUUUUGAAAGCUUCAAUUUUGCUCUAAAAAGGAUUAAUAUACGUUGGAUAAGUUUUUGAGACUCACCAUCCCUUAAUGCAAGAACCAUUGUGCAAUCCAUCACUGUUGGGAUCCUGUGAGCCACAGUAAUCACAGUGCAGUCUGAGAAUUCGCUUCUUAUCGUCUUCUGGAUGAGGGAAUCUGUUGCAUUAUCAAUUGAUGCCGUGGCUUCGUCAAGAACUAGUAUCUUCCUUCUCUUCAGCAAUGCUCGUCCCAAACAGAAUAGUUGUCGUUGUCCCAUGCUCCAAUUUGAUCCAUCUUGUGUAACUGAAGUCAUGGAAAAUUCCUUAAAUCAUCUAAUUCUUCAGCAUUAAACAUACACUACAGUAAUUUACGAGUCUUACCAAAUGAAUCUAAGCCCCCUUCUUUCUUCUCAACAACAUCUCCAAGCUGGCAUUUUCUGAGAACCUACAUAUUGUUCAGUGUGUUUCAUGUUAGCUUGUAAGACCAAUAAAUACUGAUUGAGUGCUCUACUGUCUAACUGACCUUAGUGCAAGCUCUCACUUAAUGUACGAAAAAAAGACUUGCUUGUCAAUUUAAUAGUCUAAUCCAAGAGUGAACCUGAAAAGGACAAACAUUUUGUACCAGAAAAGGACAAUUAACCCCAAACUAGUUUUCUGCUGUUCUGCUUGUGUGCAACAGUCAUUUUCCGUUCAAAGCAAUAGGAUGACAAUAAUAUUCCUGUCCCAAUUUAUUCUUGUUUUGUCAUUUUUAAUUUUAUGAUGAUUAAAAGUGCUUGCUCUGGAUAAUCCUACUUGAUUUUUUACUAAAAAUCAUUAUCGUUGCUAUAUAUCAAUCUGACCUCCCAAAUUUCUUGAUCGUUAUGUUCUGAUAAGGGAUCCAGAUUAUAUCUGAUCGACCCACCAAACAAAGUUGGAUCUUGAGGAAUGAUCGCCAAAUGUGACCUAAGAUCAUGAACCCCAAAGGUUGAAAUGUCCUGGUCAUCUAUGAGAAUUGCUCCAUCUGCAGGCUCUACCAGGCGAAAUAUGGCGCUGAUGAGUGUUGAUUUCCCGCUACCCGUCCUGCCAACUAUUCCAACUUUGUGCCCUCCUUCAAACGUACAGGUGAUGCCUUUGAGAACCAGUGGAGCAUUCGGCCGAUACCUUACCUGAAGUUUUGUUGAAAAGAGUUAUUUAACUAGUGAAACAAUAAUAUAUUUGGAGACUUAAUACUCAGUUAUCUCAUUUUGAACUUUACCUUCAGAUCUUGUAUGUCCACUUUGCCAAUAUAAGGCCAAUUGGGAGGCGGUCUAUUGCUUUCUAUUACUUCUGGAGCUUCACUGGGAAUGUGCAUGUAUUGUUCCAGCCUUUCUACUGAUACAAUUGAAUUUUCUAGCAUGCAUUGAGUUUGGACGGAACUGGCAAGGUAUAAAUUGAGUGAAAGAGCAUAUGAUAGAGCCAUGCCAAUAUAUCCUGCAUUUAUAACAUCAAGAAGUAGGUACACAGUAAAAGAAGAUUACUGCAUCAACGUUAUACAUUGAGCUACCAGGGAGGAUUACAGAAGACGGGUUGAAAAGACUGUGCAGAAAUUCUGAGAAUGAAAGGAGUGGUUCAUCUGGUCCUUUGCACAUCAAUUGAAGGUUUGGAAAAUAUAAAUUAUGAUUAUACAAGUGCAGGAAUAUUGAAAGGCUAGUAAUAAUCUAUCACACAGGUCGGUACAUUAGUUAGUUUAAGUAGGAUCUGGUGUUAGUAUUCUAUUGUGCCCAAAAUACCUUUCUCCCUAAUUAUUAGAUUUAUUGUAUUGUUAUAAUAGUAAAAAUUGUAAAUUUACUUAAAUUUGAAUUAUGAAGAUAAUAAAUACAAAAUAAAACACUCUAAUCUAAUUUGUCUAUUUGCAUCCCAUUAUUCAGAGGAGUCUGGUAUUCAUGAUUUUGACAUGACAAUUUGAAAAACGAAUUAAAUCAGAUUUAGGAAAUAUGGUGAAGGGACACUGGGGUGAAAAAAAAAGCAUGACAAGUGUCCUUGAAAUAAGGGAUAAUUUCGGAACCCUCCGAGCUUUUUGACAUUUCACUGGCCUUCCUUAGAUUUGAAAAAAUUAUACUUACCUUCCUUGGCAGAAUUAUGAACCCAGUUACUUACAUUACAUGAGAAGAGAUCACUCAUAUACUCGGAGACAUUAUGUCUUAUUAGAAACUAAUAUUUGAUGAUUAAAUAAUUAUAGCCAAUUAACUGUUAGUAAUUAAUUAACAAAAAUAAUUAUUGAAAAUUCUUUAAUGAUGCAUAGUAAGUAGUAACUUAGAAUUACAAAAUAAUGCCAAUUAAUAUAUCAAAUGAUCUGAUUGCUAUAACUUAACAAUGACCAAAAAUUAGUUAUAUACAAUAUGAAAAAAAGGGCUAAAAAACACAGGGCCAAAAAAAGGUGUCCAUAAGAAAAUUUUCUCUGCAACUCUUAAAACUGCGAUAGUUGUAAAGUUAUUUCGUGAAAGCGAAGGAGAAGAAAAAUAAAAAUUAAAAAUUUUUCUAUUCAAAAUCACAAGAAACAUAGCAAACUGCAUGUUAAGAGAGAUGAUUGGUCAGUUUUGCUGAAUCUUGUGAUCAUUAGUAUAGUUACUUUUUAUGUUGUCUAAUGUGUUGAAUAUGAACUUCUUAAAGUAGUAGAAUUUGUAUGCUAAUUGUUUUCAACUUUUAAUUAUUUUUAUUUUUUUACUAAUACAACUUAUAUACAUACAUAUAAGGGAUAUUUAUGGAAUAAAAGUUUCAUCUCUCUUCUUAAUGUAUUUUUUAAUGAUACUUUUUUUUUUCUGAUUUGGAUUGCUUUGUUUCCAAAACCUUAAUCUAGGAGAAGUUAGUAUAAUUUUACAAACUACAGAAGAGGCCAGUGAAAUUAUCAAAAAACCUUAGCGAAGGUUUCUAAAAUUAUCCCUUGAAAUAAUAAAAAUAGAAUGAGCAAAUACAUUGACUCCAAUGCCCCACUACAUUUUAUAUUAUAGUUUAGACCUUUACUUUAAUUCUACACAUUGACACUAAUUUUCCUCUAGAUUUUAAAAUUAUAGUUUAAGCCUUUACUUUAUAAGUAUUUCUAAGUUCUAUUUGCUGUAUUUAUUUUUAUCUAAGAAUACUAUUUUGUGUAUAAAAAUUUUAUUAUUAUGGUUUAAGUAUGAUAAGAUUAUAAAGUAUAUGAUAACUUUAGUAAAACAUCUCAAAAGCUUAAAAUAGAUUUUUAAAAAAUAAUUUCCCAAAAUGUUAGAUCCAUAAUUGCAAAUAAUAUUUUCAAAUAAAUCUUAACAAAUAAAUGAUAUCUCCAAUGUCUUCUAGUUUAAAAUAACGUUUUUGAGAAUAAUUGAUUCAAAAAAUGAAAAAUACGAAAAUAUUAAAUUGUGAUGUUGCCAAUAGAAUUCACACAAAUAUUUAUAUAUAUAAGUGAUGUUAUAUUAUGAAUUAAAUUUUUAUACACUAAUAGUGUAGUAAUUUUUUUUAUACUAACAAUUAUGAAUGUAUGCCAUGCAUACAUGAUUUGAAUUUCAAUUUUGAAUUCAUAUUAUAUGAUAUGAUCUAAACCUGUCAGUUAUAUAUCGACAGUGUACAAAAAAUUAAUCUUAUUUUAUGAUUCUAUAAUCACGUGCAAAAACAUGUGACUUAUUACUACUCAUAAUAUAAGACACGUGACUAAUUACUAGUCAUAAUAUAAGACUGUGUGUGUCAAUAUGUGUGUGCGCGCGCAAGUUUCUGACCAGAUUCAGAAGCUCCAAGAGGCAGUAAAGUCAAGGCAAGCGCUGAGGAGGACAGAAUGAUGGCACACAGCAAUUCCAGUCGUUGCAUCAGCCACUCAUUUGCAGAAAAGCUAUGAAAGAAGGAACUUUGGUUUCUGUCAAUAAGCUUCAGACUAUCCAAGAAGAAACGAUCUUCCUCUCCGAAAGCUCUAAUAGUCAUAGCUCCAACUAUCGAUUCUGAGAGAUAGCUAGCAACUAAAGAUUUGGUUGUGCCAUGUAUCCUGAUUAACUCUUUUACAGAAGAAUAGUAGUAUAUCUGUGUUGAACAGAAGAACACAGUAUUAUAUUCUUAUUGAACAAGACUGGGACAGUAUAUUGUGCUGGUAGUAUUUACUAAUUACAGUGCAUCAUUUUGGUGUAUACUGUUUGAUUUAUUACAUGAUCAUCUGGAUUGGUAUUUUGGAAGUAAUUUUUGGCCAUAGCCUUAUGAUAUUUUAAUACGAAUGUUGCAUCAUCCAAGUUGCAGAAAGGACUUCAAGUCUCAGUUUUUAAACUAAACUUGCUAUCCUAGUCAAGUGCUAGCGCCAGAACUGACUAUCCUUCUGAUCCUUUUGUUAAGACUGUGAGGUAACUAGUUAUAAUACGAAGCAGUUCAUGACAGGCAUUAGAAUCAUUGAAAACAGUUAACAGCUUCUGGAAAGAUUUUUGGUGCCGUGAGAGUGCUUUCACAUCAGAGACGGAAAGUUAUUCUUGCAUAGGGAUAAACAAAAUUACGAGGGUUGACCUUUUACCUGUAUGAGUAUGGUUACACAUACUGUAGGAAUGAUGACAAACAAGAUUGGCCAGGUAAGAAAUGCCAGUAUGCCUAAGCUGAAAUAUGUGGUCAUUGUCGAAGCAAAAGCCAUACUGAAUCUCGUGACAGAUCAAGGUCCACAACACUGAGAUCAGAAGAUACCUGCAGGGAAGACCUUGCAAUGAGGGUAGAUAUUUUAAAAAUUGUUGUUAAUGUACUUCCUCUGUAAUGCUUACCCUACUGAGUAUUCUUCCCAGUGGUGUUGAAUCAUAAAAAGACAUUGGUGCACGAAAAUGGGAGUCCAUGAGCUUGGAAUAAAUUGUUGUUGAUGCCCUAAGACCUAAAAGGACAAUUACACAAGACCUUAAUAGCAAGGACAGUGCCAUGCCACACCCUAUAAACGAGUAUAUGGAUAAUAGUUUCAACUCGCUAAGACUAGAAUCUUGUAUUAGUAGCUAACCAAAGGUUUUGAAUUAACUGGCCAAUUAUAUACACAAGGUGGGAUAAAACGCCCAAGGACAGGUAAAAGAAACCAUUGCUUUGACUUAGGUAUUGUAUGUAUGGCUUAAGACCAUUAUAUCCAAUUUCUCGUUCUUCUUCUUUGAUCAACUGCUCCCACAGAGGUGCUGCUAGUUGCUCCCCAGAAUGGAUCUGCUGGAUAACAUCUUGAGAAGUUUUCUGUCUUUUCUGAGAACUAUGUCCUGCACUCAUAGCAGCUUCGCUGUGCGCAUGAACAAGAUUGCGAAAUUCUUGACUGGAAUCCAGCAACUUGCUAUAGGUAGCUUCUUUUAGGAUUUUUCCUUUAGACAUCAACUGGCAACAUUAAAUAGAGAGAUGACAUAUGAAUAAGUUGACUAAUAUAUGCAGUUUUAUAUGGUGGUGUUGUCUGUCAUAUUGAGAUCCAUCUCAUUUCUUAUAUACUUCUUGCAGAAUUGAGAAGAAGCAAAACCAAGUGGCGAUGAAGAAAAUUAAAAAUGAUAGAGCAUUACUGACCAAUAUAGAGUCAAAUACUGGAAGGAAAUCAACUUGAUGAGUCACUAGUAGCACUGUCUUCUUGAACAAAGCUCCUAUGACAUAUUCCUGGCAUAAUGAACAUUUACUUUUUUUGAGAAAAUAUUCAAACAGGAGCUUAAAUGUCAGUGACAGAAGAAAUAAAACUGUAACUUCACAUUGAAUAAAGUGCUCGCUGUAUGUGCAUCAACAGCGCUGAAUGGAUCAUCCAACAGAUAUAUGUCUGCUUCUUGAUACAGUGCACGAGCAAGCUGAACACGUUGCUUCUGCCCACCACUGAGAUUGACACCUCGCUCUCCUAUAACUGUUUUGUCACCAAAAGGAAGCAUGUCGAGGUCUUUAAGUAAACAAGACUGUUUAAGUACAUCUUGGUAUUUAUGUUGAUCCAUGGUGGAUCCAAAGAGAAUAUUUUGUUGGAUAGUCCCGGUUUGAAUCCAUGCAACCUGAGAGACAUAUGCAACUUUUCCAUGCACUUCGACCUGAAAAUGAAAGGAUGCUACUAUCUUUUAGAUAUUUUUCAAGUAUCUACCAUUUAUUCAGUGCAAAACACAUAUAUACUUGCAAUAGUUUUGUUGAAAUUCUUCUGUUAUAUUUUCAUCUAAAUACUCUCUAGAAAUUCUUCAAAAUGCUUGAGUUCAUGCCAAUUAAGGCCACUUAGUCAGGACAAAUGUUAACAAUAAGAGAAAUUUCAGAUGAACCUAAAGAAGGAAAGAGUGAAUUUCUACUUACCCUGCCAUCAAUACAUGGAACUUCUCCAAGAAUUGCAGCCAAGAGAGUUGAUUUACCUGAACCGACUUCUCCACAUAUAGCUACCUUUUGACCUGGUUUAACCAAAAGAUUGAUAUAUACUAGGGAUGGAUUUAAAGAAUCAAUGUCCCAUGAAAUUCUCUUAGCAUUAAUGAGUAUGGAAUGCUCAAUUUCAAAUCCCUGUGGACAGUGAUGAAUAGGGCUGCUCUGCAACUCAGGUGCUACAAGAAAUUUUGCAAUCCGAGAAAAUGAAACCUUUGCUUCAAUGAAAACUCCGAGAACAUCUGGAAUUGACCUUAUGGGCUCCUGAACUAUGCGAAUGGUGGCAAGAAAGGUGAAAGCACUACUGGUAGUCAGAGGAAUAUUGAGCAAGUAGCAAGACCAGAAAGUAACUGCAGAUACUAUGAUUGGAGUUGACCAAAAUAGCAGCAUAUAAUAUCCUUUCUGUGCCUGAACUUUUACUAAGCAUUUCCAUUCUUCUUUCCUUAGCAAGCCAAUUAUAUCCUUGAAGUGUGUUUCCCAAGCAUAAAAUUUUAGAACUUUCAUAU